rnacentral:lncRNA from 1 species
UUAUGAAUAAAAACUACUGCGAGUAGCUUCAUCAGACAUGUGAUGAACAUACGAGAUGCAUUAGAUCUUGCAUCAGGCAGAGCAUAUAUCUAAUUUGAGCUGGUUGAAGCAAAUCGUCGAAAUAAUAUAACAUAAUAUAAGCAGUGAGAAUUCUGCAGAUUCCACAAUCAAAUAAUACUUAAACGACAUAUAGUAUAUAACUUCCACGAAAUAACAAUAAGUAGCAAUGCAUCAUUACAACCAGUUUAAGAAGCAAACAUGUUUCCACCAUAAGAAGCCCCUAUUGUUUGAUGCACAUUAUGGGUUUGCUCUUACUGAAGUCAUGGCAAUAUACACAGCUUAUAGCACAGUACAUGGCCAUAUAGUUUUAUUUCUGUCCAGAUAGAUAGUUGGCAUAAUUCAGAACCUACAGAAAACCAUGAGGCAGAUCUGGCUUGAUUGAGUGACUUGGGGCAACUGAAACAUUUUCUGUGGCAUAUUUGGCAGCCUUUCUUCCUCUAGUAGAUUUGUUAGUUGUACCUGUAUACAAAAUAUGUUAUGUAAACCAUAAUGGACAUAAAUCUUCGUUUGAAAGAUUGUCAACAGAAUAAACAGUUCCCAAUUUUUCAUUUUGCUAGUGAAAUAAACACUAGUUGCACGAUUAAAUGUACAGUUUCCAAGCUACAUUGUAAAAUACAAUAGGCGCAUAGGUUUAUCAUCUCAAGGAAAGCAUAUAUUUAAUAUGUUUAUAUAGUUGAAGGGCACGUACCGGCAGGACCAUCACCAUCCGGACCAACUAUCUUCUGCAUAAUCCAAAAAUAUGAAUGAAUCUAGUGAUAUAUUUAUUGAAAUAAAUACAUAAAACUACUAUAAAGGUUUUCCUGAUGCACUGUCACACUAAAAGAUUUAUAAUGCUUAAAUUUCAUAAGUAUAUCUUCUUGUGAGUAUAAAUACUGUGGAUGACACAUUUAUUUUGUGCUAUAUCUUUGUGUAAAGGGGGUGACUACCUUCUUCUGAAGUUUUCUUCCUCUGAAUAUGCCUGUUGCCGGUCCGUUUGUUUCCAGGAAUUCUUCCACUUCAAGUUUGGAACGGAAGUCCCUGCAGUACAGCCUAUGUUCGUAGGUCAACAUAUAAUCAAUUUAAUCAAGUUAAUACCAUUAUUUUAAUUGCAGUACAGCCUUAAUAAUUUGAGAAAAAUAUAUGAUAACAAGUUACUAGGACUGUCCAUCUUCAGCCUUGAGACAUGCACUCUUCAAAAUUUAUCUUCCAAACAACAAUUUGUAAUGUUUUGUCCAAGGACAGCAUAAUAAUACCAUAAUAUCUUGAGAAACUUGUAAUCAUGAAAAUAGACUCGUGCCAAUUUUAAGAAACAUUGAUGCAAAACAAAUCAAGGAUUUUCAAACAGAUGGUGGUCCUUCUUUGUCAUGUAAGAAUAAUAAAAUCAGCUCUUUAUAAGAUAUGAUAUAGACUGGUUUAGGGAUUUUUCUUCACACAAUGCACCAUCCCAGGAAUGAAUUGUUCUCAAUAUUAGUGUACAUUGCCACAUGCAAAGAAUACAAAAAUAUAAUAUAUUGUGACUGUUUCCUGCAAUAGAACUCAUACGAUUUGAAAACACGUUGACAGAAAAUAAAAAUUGAAGCAUUUUCAAUCUGCAACAGAUAUUUAUUUUCAAGAAUAAAACCAGAAGGAUGUAAUUCAUUGUAUGUUCUUUACCGAUAAUGUGCUCAGUAUUUUAUUGAAUAUCCCAACAUUUUAUGAAAUCCUACUAUAAGGUUCUCAUGUGGAUCAGUGAGCUCGUCAUCAGAAUAACUGGCAGCAAUGAUUUGAUUCUCUACAGCAUUUUAUGCACUACCUCUAAGUUAAAUUUGGAAGGGCAUCGGAUCAAAUCCCCCCCCCCCCCCGCCAGGCACACCGUGGAUAAAAUGUAUGUGGAGGGCAGGAAAAUAGAUGUGGCAGUACCCAAUCAAUUAGGACAAUUAUGAAUUAAAAUUGAAAUUCGUAGUAAGCAUUACAUUCAGAGGAUCGAAAAAAUGAUGUCUGCACAAGCAUUAUUACAAUAUAAUGCCGAAGGAUGAACUUUUGUUCCAAGCAUUCUUGAAAUAUGAUGGAAACAUCCCAAGAAAUGCCUUGAAACCACUAAAUAGAAUAUCUUGAUAUAAAUUUAUAUACAUUGGAAAAUAGUGUCAUAUAUAUCAUGCUCAAUUCAAGCACACCGAGAUGACAGAAUUAAUUAAAAAUGAUAUUUUCAAUGAAUUUACACACAACAUAGAACAAUGGAAUGGGCAGAAGGGCAAUCAGAUCGAUGUGUAGACAUGUAAGGUAUGAAAGCCUAAGCAGAGAAGGUAUAUCGCUUGUCUAUGCAUAUGUACAGAGGUAGUUUCUACAAGGCUUAUAUAACUAUACCAUUUUACAUAGAAUGGAUCAGUUUGGAAUAGAUCGAACCAGUACUGCUGAAUAAAAGCAUACAUUUGAACCAUAAAUCACAUCACCCCAAGAAGUUUUAUUCAGUUAACAGAGAGUAUUCUUCUGGUAGCAAAAGGAAUUUUGAACAAAACCACAGAUCUAGAUGCACAAAUGCAAAGCUAAUCUACAACGGAUAAGAUAGAAAUACUGACCCUGUCCUUGUGACACCCAUAAGAUCUAGGUUUAAUGAAAGCUUUCCAGUCCCCUUCCUUGUAGUUUUUAAGCAAUUUCAGGGAUGGGGGAACCUCAACUUCUUGUCUUCCAUCGCGCACAGACUGUUCUUUGACUGGAACAGACUGGUAUCUUAAGCGAGCAAGCAUAUUCUUGUCAAAGGGGAUAGGUUCUUUUCCUCCAUAGGGAACGAGAACCAUUCUUAGAGGAACCGCUUCUAGUGGAUCCAGAUCCGUACCCUUCAUCUGUGGAUCUGGAAUAUUCAUCGGGUUUUGCAGAGCUGGAAUGGUCUGUUCCUCCUCGGCUUUGCUCACUGCAGGAGGCGGGGAUCCAGAUAAGGUCAUCUCAGCGUCACUCAACGAAUCUUGGUUUUCUACUAAGGAUGAAUCCAUGGCCUAUUCUUUGUUCUUCUUUAUAUAAUAUAUAAAGUGGAGCAGGGGUGGCUUGUGAAUAUUAUAUAGUCCAAAAAUAGUAGCUCGAUGGUUAUAAGAUGUAUUGUAAAGAUAUAAUAGUCCAAAAUAAAAGCUGGACAAUUUUCCUAGGUGACCUGUAAAGAUAUACUAGUCCAAAAUAAAAGCAUGCCUAUUUUCCUAGGUGACCUGUAAAGAUAUACUAGUCCAAAAUAAAAGCUUGCUACUUUUCAUAUGUGAAACUGAAGCAUACAACAUAUAGUAACCGAAAAUAUGGAUAGCAUCCAGCUACUCCCUUCGUCCUCAGAUAUAUAUGGUAUUCUGGCUAUGUACCUGGACAAGUUCUUGUCCAGGGAGGUAGCUGGAAUAUCUUUAAGAGGGAAAUGACAUAUUUAAUGCCGUGUGAGAAGCAAACACCAUUUGCUAGUUUUUUAUUUUUGUAUUCUAAUUAUGAGCCAGCUGGUUUCCUUUGGUUGAGGACCUUUCUGGAUCCACCUAAAUUUUAGAACCCAGUUUUUGUAUUCCAGCUUGUGAUACAAACACCUCAGAUUAUAAUGCAGCUUUUACAAUCCACCAACUCUAAGAAUUCCUGAAGCUACCUCACCACUUUGGCUUUCUUUUACAAACUUUCGUCGCUUUGUCCAGAGACUAGGGAGGGACAGUGAUCUGGAUGCAUUUCCCACGGCCCGUUGCUUUAUUUGUAGACUAAGCAGCCCUUAAUUUUUAUGUGCCGCCUUAGCACAAAAAUUUAUUUAACGUUUUUAUGCUUGACAGAAAAGUGUGGCAGCAGGAUAGUCUUACGCAGCACACUAGAUAGAGCCAAUGAACGAUUUAUUCAAACAAUUCCAUGUCUUGUGCCUGUGGUACUGUUAUGUGUAUCUUGGACAUUAUUUACGUUUUUCUUGAACAUAAUAAAUUCAUUUCCUUAUUUCACAAGUGCCCUCCAGGCUUGGUUAUAGAUUUUCUAUAAAUGCUUUCUGAUGGAAGACUUCCAAUGAUUUUUCAAUGAAUAGAUUGAGUAGGUUUGCGGCUAAAUUUUUCUUGAAUAUUUGCGUAGCUUCAUUGAAGAUUUUCUAUAAAUUUUCUAUGACAAGAAAAUUCUAUUAAAAACUGGGAAGAUCUAGAAAGGCUGUUUCACAAGCAUUACUAUGUAGAAGACUAAGAGAUGAAGCUGACAGAUCUUAAAAUGAUGAAGCAAAGGAAUGCGGAACCAGUAGCUGCAUUUGUCCAGAGGUUCAGAGAAGUGCGUAACAAGUGUUAUAACAUGUACUUGACUGAUGGACAGCUGGUUGAAUUGCCUUACCAAGGACUGAUGGAUACCAUCAAAGAAAAGUCUGCCCCUCUGGACUUUGCAUGCUUAGCACAUCUGGUGCAAAAGGACUCGGUUUAUGAGAGCCGAUUCCAGAACACACGUAGGAGCAAAUAUGGGGUGUCCAAAUUUAAUGCAUUUUUAUUGAUCUGAUGAGGAUUCCGAUGCAGAGGGGGAGAUUAGUAUAGCAGAGUGGGUCAAGAGCAAGAAGCUAGUAUUGUGUCCAUGGAUCAAAACCAAUACGAAGACGUAUGACUUUGAUAUUACCAAGGCUGAUAAGAUAUUUGACUUGUUGCUGCAAGAAGGAUAGAUCAAAUUGCCUCCAGGUCAUAAGAUACCAUUGGCUGACGAGCUUAAGAAGAGUAAGUAUUGCAAGUUGCACAACACUAUCACACACCACACCAAUGAUUGCAAGGUGUUCCGUCAACAGAUUCAGACUGCCAUAGAACAAGGAAGGUUAAAGGUUGACAACAACAAGAAACCGAUGAAGGUUGAGAACCACCCUUUCCCAGCAGUCAACAUGGUAGAAGCUACCCUAAUUGAUAGAAAAGAAGAAACCAGGCUCCGAUUGGCACUUCUCACGAGCCAGAGAGCUAGGGAAUCGAGAGUAGUCGACCCGUAGGUGCAGAUAUCGGGUGCAAACUUCAAAAAGAAAGUGAGCUGAUCUCAAAAAGUAGACGAAGCCGAGGCUAGCCGAUCUGUUAGGAAUCCUAAAGUAACUUCCAAGAUGCUAAUCAUCAAAUACUAGCGCAGAUGGGAGGUUCGAGAAGCUAGGGCAGAUGAUGAACGGAGCAAGUUUGAGUCACUUUGGAACUGUCCUUUCUUCUAAUACUGCUGGAAUGAUAAGUUGAGGUUACCAUCAGUUGUUGAUUGCCUAGAGUGCAGUUCACAAUAUCAAGGCUAUCGUGAAUCCAAGAGACAAUGCCGAUCGGUGCAUGAACGAUUGGAGUAUCAGUCCUCUAGGCACCAUCGUGCAGUUGAGGGAUCCAAUGAAGAAAAAGAAGUCCAGUCUAUGCAUGAGAAAUUGAGCUAGCCGCCAAGGUGCAAAUCUAUUGUCAUCAAUGAGUCCAAGGAGGAACGUAUUGAACGACAAGAGAAGCUGAUUCCUGGAGAGGGUUGAUGUCCAGAAGGUUUAACCAAGACUCACUGAAGGAGGAUUCAAUGCCUGCAUUACAAGGAACAAAAUCAGAAGUGGCGCGUCAAGCAAGUGGAUAAAGUCAAAGAGGUACCGACUGAAAUUAAUAUGGUCUUUAUUUUGCCUGCUGAGUUUGGAAUAUAUCAGAACGAUGAAGAAGAGGUUGCCCAAUUGGCUUUACAAGCCCAGCUAGCUAUAUUUGAGAAACCAGAGGGAUGAGAGACACUGUCACCUCAAGCCUUUGUAGCUGAAAGGUCAUGUUGAUGGUUGGACAAUGACAAAGCUAGUGGUUGAUGGUGGUGCUGCUUUGAAUAUAAUGACAUAUGCUACCUAUCAAAAGCUUGGGAAGACUCGAGAAGAUUUGAUCAAGACUAAUAUGGUCCUGAAAGAUUUUGAAUGGAAGAGGUUAGAUGCUAAAGGGAUUCUGAAUGCCGAAUUCACUAUUGGUAGCAAAAUCCUACUUACUACCUUUUUCAUCAUUGAUGACAAAGGUUCAUACAAUAUUCUUCUGGGUCAAGAUUGGAUUCAUGCAAAUUGUUGUAUUCCAUCCAUGAUGAAUCAGCUGCUAAUUCAAUGGGAUGGAGAUAUGGUGAAAAUCAUGCAAGUCGAUUAAACUUCUAUCAAUGCUGCAGCUGAUUCCUUUUUGGGAGUCAGACAAAGUGCACUGCAUGUCUUGGAAAGUGUGGGAUGAGGAUGUCAUCUUUUGUAAUCCUUCAUGGUUCACUUCUAACACCUCUGUAUAUUGGAUGUAGCCUGUUUUGUCUUCAAGUGCCAAUUCUCCGAAGGAUUUUUAUUUUGUUCUAAGCUUCUGAAUUUAAUCAUGUACGCUUGAUGAAAGCAUUUCCUAAGCUCCUCUUCAUUGUGGUCAUCCUCAUCUCCUCCGUUCUGUUCUCAUCACCUUGCUGUUGCCUCUUCUUCAUGGAUUUUUCUAUACGUCUAGAAUAGAAAAUAUAUAGAAAUAUAGAUCUAUUAAAAGUUUUAUGAAAUUUCCUUUCCAACGAGUGGUCAUUCAUCUAAAACGGAGUUUAAAUGAGAGAGUUAUGCUCGUUUUAUUUUAGCGUUGCGGCUGUCCAAAAUGAUUUAAGGACUCAUGACAUUCGAUGAUUUGGCCAUAACCGCUUGUAGGAAUCUCCAAUUGCCUGGAUUCUUGAUUUGUUGCAACGUUGACUUCAUGGGGCUUGUGAAUAUCUGAAUAUAUUAUGUUAUUUUCUUCUAAGGUCGAGCAAAAAUCUUGAUGGCAACAGUAGCUUCUUGUGAAUUGAUCUAGAGAUGUUGAUAAUCUUAAUCUUGUGGUCUUUGGGGCAUUAUGUCGCACAUCCUUUGGCUUCAAGGUCAUCACCAUUGCUGCACCAGUGAGUAGUAUGGUGGCAAUGAUAAGUCUUCUCCAUAAUUCUUGCUUUAGUCAAGGUGCCGGGAUCAGAGGAGGCUCCUGCGCUUUAUGUCGAUGAUCUGAACAGUUUUCUUCCUUGAUUGCAUCACUCAAUUAGAAGCUUCUUGAGCAUCGCACUGGAGAAAAUUGGUAGUGUCAUGGUGCUUCUAAUCUUGUUGCCUCCAGUCUUGAUCAACUUCAAGUCAUCGUCUUUUAUGCAGAGAGGCCCUCUAAUCAUCCCUCUACAUCAUCACCACUUUCUUCAUCAUUCACUACUGCCUCUUCUUCAUUGAAUUCCUGUAUGUAAAGUUUAGAACAUGUACCAAAAUUGUAAUCCAUUACAAAGUGCAUCAAGUUCCCUUUCCAACAAGUGCUCAUUCACCCAAAAUGGAUUCCAGAUGAAAGAGUUACGCCCGUUUUACUCCGGCACUACCUUCUCUCCGGAGCUGAUUCCAGAACGCGCAACGUUGAAAUAUUAUAUCAUAACUCCUUAUACGGAUCUCCAAAAUUAGCAAUUCUUAAUGCGUUGGAAAGAAGACUUGAUGGAGCUUCUGACUAUUCAAUUUUCCUUUAUUAUACAUCUCUUUUCAUGGGUAUAAAAUUCAUCACAAAGACAAUGUUUGAGAUGAUGAUGAACCAACUUGCAAUUCUUUGGGCAUGAUCCAACACCUGGUACUUGAACAAAUUAAUCAUCAAGAAACUUUAGUAUUAAAAAAAUUAAUUGACACAGCAACAUACCUUGUUUAUCAUCAUUUGUAUUGUCUUCAUUGGUGUGAACUCGAUAGCAGAUGCUAGGCCACCAACAAAGUUCGCACCUACUACUAAAGAGUCGAGCUUGAUGUUGCUAUCAUCUUAUCAGGGUGAAUCUAGACUUGAUGAAAGUCCAUAUUCAAUCAUCUGGAGUCUAGCUUUUACCUGCUAUUAAGGAUGUGAACAAGGAAAACAGGAUAUAUGCAAUGGAAAAAUUAGAUAGAUCGCCCCAGGGUUCGAGAUGCCGAUCCCUAGCAACGGUGUUAGUAAAACUUGUUGACGGUAGUUAGCACGCCAUUUUGUGAACCGCAAGCGCAUGGAUCAUCAUAGCUUUUCUCUAAGAGUAUUCCAUCUAAGGUUUAUCAAUCUGUGGAUCGGCAGUGAACUGACUAAGGUUCUCUAUCUAGCUAAACAGAUCUAAUCCUAUCAUGAAGCAUGAAUUACACAUAAAUGUAAGCCAAUCAUGAGAUAAGCAUUAUAGAUAGGGUAAAUAGAUCACUUCCAUGUAUAUGUGAGGUAACACAACCAAGGGUAGCAUGAGCCUAUCGUCUUCUUGUUGUAGCUCCAGCCAAAGUGCUAAUCAAUCUCUCAGAAAGGCGGCUCGCAAGCGGCCUACAUUCUUAUGAUUGCCCUUUUGAGGUGCGUGCCUGGUUUCCCAAAGCUUUACCUCAACAACUCCCACAAUACUUGCCAUUGAUCCUACUCAACAUUACGCAAUCGUUCGGGCAUUUUCCUCCCACAUGCUAUCACCACACAAGAGUAAUCACACCGACUUCCUACGCACUACUAAGAUGUAUCCGCAAGACAUAGACUAAUCACCAUGAUUACAUCUAUUCCUACUAAGAACAUAUGCUAGCUAGUCAUAUGAGAAUAAGCAUGCAUCAUAGUAGAUGAAAGUAAAGACAAGAUCAGAUUGAUAUCACCAUCAUGUGUACAUAGGCCUUGAUGAUCACAAGGCUCAGCUCCGGAACUCCACCAUGGCAUCACCACGCAGGGACGACCAUGGCGGCUAGGGUCUAGCCUACGCCAUCUCCUAGACAACCUCGAGGACUUGCAGCGACCCUUAGCUCCCUCUGGUGUGUCCCUCUAUUCGUCAAGUUCUAGUUUAUUCCUCCCUAGGCUCGAUGAAUUUUCAGGGUAUGUAUAGUCUGGAGAGCCCAUGGGUUAAAUUGGAAGGCGAAUGGGCAAAGGAAAGGGGUAGGCCAAUCAGCCUGGAGGGCUCCAGUCUAGGCCGAUCGGCCUAGCCCUUCCUUUUACCCCCGUGCAUCCAACUUCGUCGCCAAGUCUUCUUCAAUGUUCUGGAACCUUAUUUUUGUAUGCAUGUGGGCCUAGCACGUCAGUAGCUUCGGGAUGAGAUUGAUCUUCAACAACUUUCCAAAUCUUCACUUGAUCUUCUUUGAUUCUUCCUUGAUCCCGAAGCGAUCCUGGCCAUAUCUUCACAAACUUAGCCCUUAAGUCAUCUUGGAGGAUUGCUCGCCAAAAAUGAGGUUCGGUGGAGGCCAGAAGACCUUAGGCCGAUCAGCCUGGGCUCUUUUUGUGCAUCCUGGUCUUCAUCUUUCUCUGGUCCACUGCUCGUUCAAGUUGUUAUCCAAAAAAAUGCAUAUUUAGCCCAAUUUCCUGCAAAACAUAGUAUAUCCUCCAAAAUGUCUUGCAUAUGCAAAAACAAGGUUAUUUUAGGUGCCAAGUGGCGGGUCAGUAUAAGAUUAUGCAUGAAAAUACUAGUUAAAGAGCACUAGAAGUGUGUCAAUAACGAGCAUCAACACUCAACAGGGACUAGGUGCAGAAACUUAAUAGGCUAACUACUCAGGGAAGAUAUGUGCCCUUCACGUGAUUGACCUCGCCAUAGAGUCUUUCCCUGCAAGUGAAUCUAAGAACAAAAGUGAGAACAUGAAGAACCCAAUCCUCACCAUAGAGUCUUUCCCUGCAAGUCACUCUAAGAACACCAGUGAGAACAUGAAGAACCCAAUCUAAAAUUGCAAAUGUGUAUGAAGCAAAAGUGGAUAUAAGAGGUUCUAAAUCUUGUCAUGAAAAAGGACUAAUCGCCACUGUUGCAAUGAAGAAAGUAUAUUUCUUGAUGGAAAACUAGAUCUAAGCAAAAUCAAAAUCAUAAUGUGGCAGUGGCUCAUGAAUAUAUGAGGGUUAGGUCAUCAAAGACGCCACCUAGACGUGGCCCUAUGGGACUCCAAAGUGAUACAUGAGCCAAUGGCCCAAAAGAUGGUGGCGCAACACCCUAAUAGAUUUUGGAGGCCCACUUGUUCAGCACUCCGAGGGAAUUUGGACUUGAGACAAGUGCCAUUGGAAAACUUAUCUCCUUAGUUUUCCGUGCAUAUAUGGAACGCCAAAAAUAUAGCCUAUAUGUGACCGGGAUGGUGAAUUUAUUGUGGGCUGCUCCUGUACUUGGAGGUGGACUUUUACUUGAUUUGCUUUUGGUGUCCACCUUGGCAUCUCGAACUGGAUAAACUUCAUGCCACUUUCUGGUCUUGAAUGCCAAAGCAGCUUUUUAACUAUUGGCUGUGACAAGUUAGCAACUAAUUUGGAGUUCCCAUCAAAGUGAUUUACAUUUAAAGUGGAUUUUAGCAUUAGAUAUCUCACCCAAACCUAAUAAAACUACUGUCUUAAACCCUCCAUGGACCAGGAUAUAGUUUAUCCGGAUGCACUGCCACAGGUACGAUUUGGAUAAUGUAACGAAUAUAAGGCAUUUAGCAUAAAUCUAGGCCAGUAUUAAUUAUAGUUAAAUUAUUUUAGCCUGAGAUUCUUGUGUGGAUCUAAUAGUAUCCAGUCUCCGAGUAAUCCAACUUGUGAUAAAAACAGCCCAGAUUGUGGUCUAGUUUUUACAAUCCACUAACCACAGUUAUCACACAAGCUACCUCUCCCUAGCUUCUUCUUCGUAAUUUGGUCAGUUCCGAUAUAGCUCAUGAGCAUUUAAUGAAUCCAAGCAAUAUAGCAAAAAUAUAAGUCAUGAUGCAUUUUUGUUGACAUUAUUUUAUCCUAUGCCGUGAAUAAAGCAGCCUGUCAUGUUCUUUAUCCUUGUGAAUUAACGGAGGGAUAAGUGAUAAUUGACAUGAAAAAAUCAAGGUCCUUCGUAGUACUAUACACAAUCAAUGAUAUGACGCAUGGGCCGUAUACAUCUCUCUCGUGUGACUACAAGGUUACAGACUUACAGACAAAAUGGAAGAAAUGACCAUGCAUUUGAGUUGACUGUCAUGCCCCGAUGCUCUACUUCCGGUAUCUAUAUUUUUUGGCACGAAGAAGACCUGAAACUAGCUUGAUUUGAGACUCCAUGUACUCAUGUUGGCAAAAAAUGUCUACUACUAGGAUGAAAUAGGCAAGCUAAAGAUAAACAUUUGCGUCGUGCCCCAUGAUGACAGACAAUAAUCCAAUACUGGAGGAAAUAGGGAAGAAAUAAUCAUAUGAAAUCAAAUACUAACGAGGUUGCAAUUUAUAUAUGAUAAAUACUAGGUCCAUCAGAUAAGACAUCAGGCAAAAAGCAAAUUAACCUUGGGCAGCAGCCAAAGCCUAUAUCUAAUUUUAGGUUGAAGCGAGCUAGCCAUCUAUAUAAUAUAAUUUGACCGGUGAGAAUUUUGCAGAUUCCACAAAACAAACCUUACUUAAAUGACAUAACAUCGACGAAAUACAACAAACUAGCAAUGCAUUAUUACAUCCAGAUUAAGGGUACCAAACUAGCAAACAUAUUGUUCUCCAUAAAAAAACAUCAUAUGGUUUGAUGCACUUUAUGGGCUUGUUCUUCCAGAAGUCAUGACAAUGUACACAGCUUACAGCACAUACAUGACUAUAUGCUUUUAUUUCCCACCAGAAAGUUGACAUCAUUCAGAACCUACUGAAAACCAUGAGGCAUAGUUAGCUUGAUUGAAUGACUUGGGCCAACUGCAACAUUUUCUGUGGCAUACUUGGCAGCCUUUCUUCCUCUAGUUGAUUUAGUUGAAUCUGUGCACCUAAUAUGUUAUGUUAACCAUACUGGACAUAAAUGUUCUUUUGAAAGAUUGGUUAAGAGAGUAAACAGUUCCUGGUAUUCCAGCUAUGCUAUUAAAAUUAACACUAGUUGCAUGAUUAAAUCAUUCAAGACAAACUAAAGUUUCGACGCUACAUUGCAAAAUAUAAUAGCUGCAUGGAGGUAAACAUUGUCGCUCAAGUAAAGCAUAUUUGAUGUGUAUAUAUAGUUGAAUGGCACAUACCAUUUGUGCCAUGACCAUCCGGACCAGCUAUCUUCUGCAUAAUCCAUACACAUGAACGAAUAAAGAUAUAUAUUUAUGGAAAUAAAUACAUAACACUACCAUAUAGGUUUCACUGAUGCACAAUUACAUUUUUUUUGAGUUCCCUAAAGCGCUUCGCGUUAAAUAAAACAGAGGAUAUUUACAAAGUGUAUGGAAUAAUUACAGCAGAGAGGGGGGAUGAAUUAAAUUAAGUUAUUGUAACUAGCCAUUGUACAAUUGGAGGUCUAAGCUCCUCUCUAACUCUGUGAAGUUUGCACAGUUACAUUAAAAGUUUUAUAAUGUAGAAACUUUCUAAAUAUAUCUGGUUCUGAGUAUUUACAUGGUGGUGGACUCCUUUAUUUUCAUGCAAUAAUUUCUGUAAAGGGGUUACUAUACCUUCUUCUGAAAUUUUCUAUCUCCGAACAUGCCUGUUAUCGGCCCGUUUGUUUUAAGGAACUCUUCCACUCCAACUUUGGAACGGAAUUUCCUUUGGUACACCCUAUGUUUCUAGGUCUACAUAUAAGCAAUUUACAUGGAUUUAAUAUCAUUCUUUUACAUGAGUAAUAAUAAUGUGACUAAAAUAUAUGCUUUACUUCAUAUGAUUACAUGGACUGUCCUUGAACAUUAGAAAUCAAGUCUUCAAUAUUUAUCAAGUUCUAAUGUUGAAUAUAGGUAUAACAUGUAGCAAAAGGCAUUUUUGAACAAAACCACAGAUCUAGAUGCACAGAUGCAAGGCUAAUCAAAUAUGGAGAAGGUAUAACAUGUUAAAUAGAAGUACUAACCCAGUCCUUGUGCCCAUCAACUCUUGUGUGGAGGAAAGCUGUCCAAUCCUCUUCCUUGUAAGAUUCAAGCGACUUCAGCGAUUAAGGAAAAGAACAGAUUGAUUGUUCUUUGACAGGAACAAAUUCAUCUCUCAAAUGACCAAACUUAUUCUUAUCAAAGGGGAUAGGUUCUUUUCCUCCAUAGGGACCCGGGAACCACUCUCAAAGGAACCGCAUCUAGUGGCUCUGGACCUUUCAACUUUAGAUCUAGGUUUGGCAGAGCAGACAUGAUCUCUUCAUCCUCCGCAUGGAUCACUGCAGGAGGCAGGGAUUGAGUCAUCUCAGAGUCACACCACUCUACGAAUGAUGAAUCCAUGACCUAGCAGAGGUGUUAGACUUCAUGCGUAGCAACCAAAUGAGAAAGUGCCUUAAGCUGUUUGUCUUUCUUCCUAUAAAGUGUACAAGGGGUGGCUUGUGAAUAUUAUAUAGACCAAAGUAAAAGCUUGAUUGAUUUCCAAGGUGAACUUUAAGGAUAUAUUAGUCCAAAAUAAAAGUUUGCUUAUUUUCCUAGGUGACCUGUAAAUAAAUACUAGUCCAAAAUAAAAGCAUGCAACUUUUCCUUGGUGGAACUAAAGCUAUACAACAUAACGGACACUAGGGAUAGCAUCCAGCUACUCCCUUCGGCCUGAGAUAUGUAUUUUGGCUAUGUACGUGGAUGACUGUAUGUCUAGGUAGAUAGCCAGAUUCCUUUUAUUUAAGGAUAUAUAGGGAAUAUGCCAUAUUUAGGCCCCAUUUAGCUGGCUGAAUCAGUUCCGAUUCUUCUUUGCAUCACUAGAAACGCUGCCAAACAGUCACAGAAAGGAUCGAUUCCAGCUAGAAACGUUUCUAGUGUUUCUGUUUUUUUCUACUAUGGAUCAGAAUCAACACCCAGGUAGUUUCUCGUGAUUCCAUAUCUUAUUGUCCUACCUCACAUCUAAUCUAUAAAUAUUUCUAUUGGUCUUUUUUAGACGCAACAAGUUAAAAUGGGUCGCAUUUUAAACGUUCUUCACUCAAAAAAAAUCAAUAAUUUUUAGAUAUAUCAAUUUCUAUAAUUUUUUCAUGUAAAUAUAUUGUUUUUAACUGCCUUUCAAGAAUCCAAAUCUAGUCAGUUAGCCAAAUGAUUCUAUAAAAGUGAUUCUGAUUCAUAUGAGAAAUAUUUUCAAAGAGCAUCUGGAUCCGAAACGUUUCUACGAGAAUCAAGAUCCCUACCAAACGCGCCCUUAAUGCAUGCCAUGGAAAACACCAUUUGCCAGUUGUUUCCUAGUUUUAUUCUAAGUAUGAGCCAUCUGUUUUCCUCGAGCUGAGGGCCUGUUUGGAUUAACCCAAGUUGUUGAACCCAAAUUUUAUAUUCCAGCUUGUGAUACAAACAACUCAGAUUAUGAUCCAGCUUUUAUGAUCCACUAACUCUAAGGGCCUCUUCAAUGGGCGCAUCCAAGUUCUGGUUCCAUAGAUUUAAUACUCCUAUAGAUGCACGUCCUUCACACUGUUGCCUUGAAUCCACGAAGCAGCAUGUCCCUUCCAUAGACCCGGCUCCCAUUGAAUUUAAAAAGUACUAUUUUGACAGAACUAUAGCGCAAAGCUGUACGAACUCAACCGCUACCAUCGAGCAGAGCCUCCUCCUCCUAGUUCCCAACAUCCUGCAUACAAUGAGAGAAGAACAACACAAUUCAGAUUGAUUCAUCAGAGAGAAAUUUCACUUUUUUGAGUGCCUCUGUCCCCAAAAAUCAGAGAGAAGAAAACUCUAACUUUCAGCGCAUGCAAAAAUUUUGCACCCAACAAAUUCAACUAUUAAAAUUGACCCAUACUCAACUACAAAGAGCAUCCAGGAACAGGAACGCUAUAUGUAUCCGAAUUAGCUAACAAUUUAUUAGUGCAUUGAGCCUACAAGAGCACAAGAAUAAACAAUUUUGGCAGAGAUAAAAAUAGGCUCCGCAUGUUUGAAUCACACCAGAAUACUGCUUGCUUGAUCUAAAAAGAUACUCCCAUCAUGAUGCCCGCUAUUUUGUCUCCCUUUUGCUGCCGGCGGAGCACAUGCAGGUGAAGGUCAACCACACUGGUGAACGGGUGCGCCUUAACCACCACUACAAAGUCCCCCUCCCUCAUGGGGCUACAACUUGUCUACCCGUUCGUUGUUGAGUCGGUGAUGGCCAUCUGCGACUCUCAUCACGAGCCCUGGUGGCCAUGGUAGGUAGGGAGGAGAGGGCUACGAUUAGGUGGUUGCGACCAUCGUGGAUGUGGGAUCGAGCAGGAUCGACAAGAGGGCAAUGGCCGAGCGGAUCCCAGGUUUGUGGAUGCGGUGGUGGUGGAGAAGCAGGCGGUGUGCUCGGAAUCUGGAGAGGGCAGCGCCCACAGAAGCGAAAGAGGACCUGGAUAAAUAGCAUGAAGGAAAUGACCUGACGGGGAGUGCUAUUUUUUUUGUACUUGUGCAGAUCGCAUACAUGAAUCCAGGCCUGGUUCCUACACAUUGUGACCAACUUAACAGCUCAUAUCCAGGAUCUCAGCUCAUUAAUGGGUCCUACCGAAGAUGCUGGGUCGGAUCACUGGAGGUUGCCUACGAAUUCCACAAGCUACCUCAACCAUGCAGAUCCUACAUCCAAUUAAUGGCCGUAUUUUAGAUUUGAAUUCGAGCUACUAUUUUGUAUUUAAAUUCAAGAACAUCUGAAUUUGUAUUUGUAUUUGAGUAAAAAUAUGGUAAAAGGUGAUAUAUGAAUGCGAUUCCAUGAGAAUCAGAUCUGAUUCCAUCCGUAGAUAUACGGUACUGAUAUGGAUAAACAUCUGUGCUAGCUGUAGUUUAAAGCCAAUUUGCAUAGUUGGUUAUACGUGUUGGCACUCAAUUGAAGCCAUUAGAGAUAACAAUUAUCUGUUAGGGCUGUAGUUUGAAGUCGAUUCCCAUAGUUAGUUAUAUGUGUUGGCACUAAACUGUAGUCACUUUUAUCUCCAAGUCACAACCGAAUUUAUACAACUCCAAGUCAUAAAUAAAUUUACUUAUUACGACACCAACACAUGGAUAUUAAUGACUCAUAUAAACACUGAGGUUACUCUAAAUCUCCAAAUAAAUAAGGAUCAGGACACUGAGAUUAUUACAAAUCUCGAUGAGCAUGUAAUCUGACGCAGUGGGGUCCUGUCGGUUAGGAGUAGUGUUGUUACACGGUUCUAUACGAACCAACUAUGAACGACAAUUCUCCCGCCAUUGCGUCACUGUAUGAUUGAUUUUUAAAGAUCCAGACCAACCAUGCAUCUUCUAUCAAAUGGGACAAAGCAAGUUGACUAAUCCUGAAGUUCUCACAUGCAUGUACGCAUGGUUAAAGACUUUGGUUUCUGAGCUGAACUGGGAUGGAGCAUGCUCUGUUUAAACUAACGUGACACCAGGGCUGCUAUACUCGCUGCCAGGGAUUGAGUCCGCCACUGGGCCAUGACAGGAUUACUCUGGCCCUCUUCUGGCAUCUUGUCCGAGCAGAGUGUACAACUAAGAGAGCCGGUGCUGCCGUGCCUAUCAUGCUACCAGCACAGGAGAACACACAUAUGCUUGCGGCCAGGCCAUCGUCAAGAGUACACGCUGACAACGUCAAGAAUAAUGCGGAAUAACUAUAGAUGAGUUCAAAUACAAAUGAGGUUGAUAUAUAUAUAUAUAUAUAUAUGUUAUGAAUCAAAACCACUGCUAGUAACUUCAUCAGACAUGUGAUGAACAUGCGAGAUGCCUUAGAUCUUGCAUCAGGCAGAGCAUAUAUCUAAUUUGAGCUGGUUGAAGCAAAUCGUCAAAAUAAUAUAACAUAAUAUAAGCAGUGAGAAUUCUGCAGAUCCCAUAAUCAAAUAAUACUUAAACGACAUAUAGUAUAUAAUUUCCACGAAAUAACAAUAAGUAGCAAUGCAUCAUUACAACCAGUUUAAGGAUACCAAAGUAGCAAACAUGUUUCCACCAUAAGAAGCCCCUAUUGUUUGAUGCGCAUUAUAGGUUGCUCUUACUGAAGUCAUGGCAAUAUACACAGCUUAUAGCACAGUACAUGGCCAUAUACUUUUAUUUCUGUCCAGAUAGAUAGUUGGCAUAAUUCAGAACCUACAGAAAAUCAUGAGGCAGAUCUGGCUUGAUUGAAUGACUUGGGGCAACUGAAACAUUUUCUGUGGCAUAUUUGGCAGCCUUUCUUCCUCUAGUAGAUUUAUUAGUUGUACCUGUAUACAAAAUAUGUUAUGUAAACCAUAAUGGACAUAAAUCUUCGUUUGAAAGAUUGUCAACAGAAUAAACAGUUCCCAAUUUUUCAUUUUUGCUAGUGAAAUAAACACUAAUUGCAUGAUUAAAUCUUUCAAUACAAUGUACAGUUUCCAAGCUACACUGUAAAAUACAAUAGACGCAUAGGUUUAUCAUCUCAAGGAAAGCAUAUAUUUAAUAUGUGUAUAUAGUUGAAGGGCACGUACCAGCAGGACCAUCACCAUCCGGACCAACUACCUUCUGCAUAAUCCAAAAAUAUGAAUGAAUCUAGUGAUAUAUUUAUUAAAAUAAAAACAUAAAACUACUAUAAAGGUUUUACUGAUGCAUUGUCACACUAAAAGAUUUAUAAUGCUCAAAUUUCAUAAGUAUAUCUUUUUGUGAGUAUAAAUACUAUGGAUGCCACAUUUAUUUCAUACUAUAUGUUUGUGUAAAGGGGGUGACUACUUUCUUUUGAAGUUUUCUCCCUCUGAAUAUGCUUGUUGCUGGUCCAUUUGUUUCCAGGAAUUCUUCCACUUCAAGUUUGGAACGGAAGUCCCUGCAGUACAGCCUAUGUUCUUAGGUCUACAUACAAGCAAUUUACUUGGAGUUAAUACCAUUCUUUUAGAUAAAUAAUAAUUUGAGAAAAAUAUAUGAUAAACAAUUUACUAGGGCUGUCCAUCUUCAGCCUUGAGACAUGCACUGUUCAAAAUUUAUCUUUCAAACAACAAUUUGUAAUGUUUUAUCCACGGACAGCAGAAUAAAUCCAUAAUAUCUUGAGAAACUUGUAAUCAUGAAAAUAGACACGCGCCAAUUUUAAGAAACAUUGAUGCAAAACAAAUCAAGGAUUUUCAAACAGAUGGUGGUCCAUCUUGGUCAUGUAAGAAUAAUAAAAUCAGCUCUUUAUAAGAUAUGAUAUAGACUAGUUUAGGGAUUUUUCCUCACACAAUGCACCAUCCCUGGAAUAAAUUAUUCUCAACAUUAUUGUACAUUGUCGAAUGCAAAGAAUACAAAAAUAUAAUAUAUCGUGACUGUUUCCUGCAAUUGAACUCAUACGAUUUGAAAACACGUUGACAGAAAAUACAAAUUGAAACAUUUUCAACCUGCAAUGGAUAUUUAUUUUCAAGAAUAAAACCAGAAGGAUGUAAUUCAUUGUAUGUUCUUUACCGAUAAUGUGCUCAGUAUUUCAUUGAAUAUCCCAACAUUUUAUGAAAUCCUAUUAUAAGGUUAUCAUGUGGAUCAGUGAGCUGGUCAUCAGAAUAACUGGCGGCAAUAAUUUGAUUCUCUACAGCAUUUGAUGCACUUCCUCUAAGUUAGAUUUUGGAAGGGCGUCGGAUCAAACUAAUGUAGUGUUGGGCUGAUGUGGUAGUGCUUCAGCGGCUCUCUCUCUCUUUGCGGCCCCUCCCCCUCCCCCCCACCCUGCCCCCCAGGCACACCAUGGAUAAAAUGUAUGUGGAGCUUGUGCCUAGGGCAGGAAAAUAGAUGUGGCAGUACCCAAUCAAUUAGGACAAUUAUGAAUUAAAAUUGAAAUUCAUAGUAAGCAUCACGUUCAGAGGAUCGAAAAAUGAUGUGUGCCCAAGCAUUAUUAGAAUAUAAUGUCAAAGGAUGAACUCUUGUUUCAAACAUUCUUGAAUUAUGAUGGAAACAUCCCAAGAAAUGCCUUGAAACCACUAAAUAGAAUGUCCUGAUAUAAAUUUGUAUACAUUGGAAAAUAGUGUCAUAUAUAUCAUGCUCAAUUGAAGCACACCGAGAUGACAGAAUUACUUAAAAAUGAUAUUUUCAAUGAAUUUACACACAACAUAGAACAAUGGAAUGGACUGAAGGCAAUCAGAUCGAUGUGUAGACAUGUAACGUAUGAAAGCCUAAGCAGACAAGGCAUAUCGCUUGUCUAUGCAUAUAUAAAGAGAUACUUUCUGUAAGGGUUAUACAACUAUACCAUUUUACUUCUAACCCAAAAUAAAUCAGUUUGGAAUACAUAGAUCAAACCAGUACUGCCGAAUAAAAGCAUACAUUUGAACCAUAAAUCACACCACCUCAGGAAAUAUUAUUCAGCUAACACAGAGUAUUCUUCUGGUAGCAAAAGGCAUUUUGAACAAAACCACAGAUCUAGAUGCACAAAUGCAAAGCUAAUCUACAACGGAUAGGAUAGAAAUACUAACCCUAUCCUUCUGACACCCAUAAGAUCUAGGUUUAAUGAAAGCUUUCCAGUCCCCUUCCUCGUAGUUUUUAAGCAACUUCAGCGAUGGGGGAACCUCAACUUCUUGUCUUCCAUCGCGCACAGAUUGUUCUUUGAUAGGAACACACUGGUAUCUUAAGCAAUGGUAUCUUAAGCAAGGAAGCAUAUUCUUGUCAAAGGGGAUAGGUUCUUUUCCUCAAUAGGGAACGAGAACCAUUCUCAAAGGAACCGCUUCUAGUGGAUCCAUACCCUUCAUAUGUGGAUCUGGAAUAUUCACUUGGUUUUGCAGAGCCGGCAUGGUCUGUUCCUCCGAUCCUCGGCUUUGCUCACUGCAGGAGGCGGGGAUCCAGAUAAGGUCAUCUCAGAGUCACUCAACGAAUCUUGGUUUUCUACUAAGGAUGAAUCCGUGACCUACUAGCAGAGUUGGGAAACUUUGCACCUGGCAAAUAAAUGGGCAAAUGCCUUAUGCUCUUUGUUCUUCUUUAUAUAAUAUAUAAAGUGGAGCAGGGGUGGUUUGUGAAUAUUAUAUAGUCCAAAAAAAGAAGCUCGAUGGUUAUAAGGUGUAUUGUAAAGAUAUAAUAGUCCAAAAUAAUAGCUGGCCAAUUUCAUAUGUGAAACUAAAGCUAUACAACAUAUAGUAAUUGAAAAUAUGGAUAGCAUCCAGUUACUCUCUUCAUCCUGAGAUAUAUAUGGUAUUCUUGCUAGCUAUGUACCUGGACAAGUUCUUGUCCAGGUAGGGAGCCAGGAUACCUUUUAUUUUACGAUAGAGGAAAUAUCAUAUUUAUUGCUGUGUGAGAAGCAAACACCAUUUGCUAGAUUUUUAUUUUUGUAUUCUAAUUAUGAGCCAGCUGUGUGAGAAGCAAAUACCUUUUUGGAUCCACCUAAAUUGUAGAACCCAGUUUUUGUAUUCCAGCUUGUGAUACAAACACCUCAGAUUAUAAUGCAGCUUUUACAAUCUACCAACUCUAAGAAUUCCAGAGACUAGGGAGGAACAAUGAUCUGGAUGCAGUUGCCACGGCCCGUUGCUUUAUUUGUAGACUAAGCAGCCCUUAAUUUUUAUGGGCCACCUUAGCACCAAAAUUUAUUUAACGUUUUUAUGCUUGACAGAAAAGUGUGGCAGGAUAGUCUUACGCAGCACAUUAGAUAGAGCCAAUGAAAGAUUUAUUUAAACAAUUCCAUGUCUUGUGCCCGUGGUACUGUUAUGUGUAUCUUGGACAUUAUUUACGAUAUAUAUCACAUUUUUUUUGAACAUAGUAAAUUCAUUUCUUUAUUUCACAAGUGCCCUCCAGGCUUGAUUAUAGAUUUUCUAUAAACGCUUUCUGAUGGAAGACUUCCAAUUAAUUUUCAAUGAAUAGAUUGAGUAGGUUUGCAUCUAAAUUUUGCUUGAAUAUUUGCGUAGCUUCAUUAAAGAUUUUCUAUAAAUUUUCUAUGACAUGAAAAUUCUAUUAAAAACUGGGAAGAUCUAGAAAGGCUGUUUCACAAGCAUUGCUAUGUAGAAGACUAAGAGAUGAAGCUGACAGAUCUUAUAAUGAUGAAGCAAAGGAAUGCGGAACCAGUAGCUGCAUUUGUCCAGAGGUUCAGAGAAGUGCGUAACAAGUGUUAUAACAUGUACUUGACUGAUGGAUAGCUGGUUGAAUUGGCUUAUCAAGGACUGCUGGAUCCCAUCAAAGAAAAGUCUACCCUUCAGGAUUCAUGAGAGCCAAUCCCAGAACACGCAUAGGAGCAAAUAUAGGGUCUCCAACUUUAAUUCAUAUGAUUCAUCUGAUGAGAAUUCAGAUGCAGAGGGGGAGAUUAGUGUAGCAGAGUGAGUCAAGAGCAAGAAGCCGAUCUCGUGUCCAUGGAUCAAAACCAAUACGUAGAUGUAUGACUUCGGUAUUACCAAGGCCGAUAAGAUAUUUGACUUGUUGUUGCAAGAAGGACAUAAUUGCCUCCAGGUCAUAAGAUACCAUCGGCUAAGAAGCUUAAGAAGAGGAAGUAUUGCAAGCUGCACAACACUAUCACACACCACACCAAUGAUUACAAAGUGUUCCGUCAACAGAUUUAGACCACCAUAGAACAUGGAAGGUUAAAGGUUGACAACAACAAGAAACUUAUAAAGGUUGACAACCACCCUUUCCCAGCAGUCAACAUGGUAGAAGCUGCCCCAGUUGAUAGAAAAGAAGAAACUAGGCUCCGGUCGGCACUUUUCACGUGCCAAAGAGCUAGGGAAUCUAGAGCAGUGGACCCGUAGGUGCAGAUAUCGGCUAAAGACUUCGAAAAAAAAGUGAGCUGGGCUCAAGAAGUAGAGGAAGCUGAGGCCAACCAAUCUGUUAGAAAUCCUAAAGUAACUUCCAAGAUGCUAAUCAACAAAUACAGUGCAGACGGAAGGUUUGAGAAGCUAGGGCAGAUGAUGAACGGAGCAAGUUUGAGCCACAUUGGAACUGUCAUUUCAUCCAAUACUGUUGGAAUGAGAAGUUGAGGUUACCAUCAGCUAUUGAUUGCCCAGAGUGCAGUUCACAGUAUCAAGGCUAUCGUGACUCCAAGAGACAAUGCCGUGCAUAAAUCAUUGGAGUAUCAGUCCUCCAGGCACCAUCGUGCAGUUGUGGGAUCCGAUGAAGAAAAAGAAGUCCAGUCUGUGCAUGAGAGAUUGAGCUACCCGACAAGGUGCAAAUCUAUUGUCAUCGAUGAGUCCAAGGAGGAAAGUAUUGAAUGACCAGAGAAGGUGAUUCCUAGAGAGGGUUGGUGUCCAGAAGGUUUAACUAAGACUCACAGAAGGAGGGUUCAAUGCUUGCAUUACAAGGAACAGAACCAGGAGUGGCGCGUCAAGCAAGCGGAUAAAGGCAAAGAGGUAUCGGCUGAAAUUAAUAUGGUCUUUAUUUUGCCUGCUGAGUUUGGAAUCUAUCACAGCGAUGAAGAAGAGGUUGCCCAAUUGGCUUUACCAGCCGAGCAAGUUGUAUUUGGGAAACUAGAGGACUGAGAGAUACCGUCACCUCAAGCCUUUGUAUCUGAAGGGUCAUGUUGACGGUUGGCCGAUGACCAAGCUACUGGUUGAUGGUGGUGCUGCUAUGAAUAUAAUGCCAUAUGCUACCUAUCGAAAGCUUGGGAAGAUUCCAGAAGAUUUGAUUAAGACUAAUAUGGUCCUGGAAGAUUUUGAAUGGAAGAGGUCAGAAGCUAAAGGGAUUAUGAAUGUCGAAUUGACGAUUGGAAGCAAAAUCGCACUUACUACCUUUUUUGUCAUCGAUUGGAUUCACGCAAAUUAUUGUAUUUCGUCCACGAUGCAUCAUACUAAAUCAAUGGGAUGGUGUAUAGUGAAAAUCAUGCAAGCCGAUGAAACUGCUAUCAUUGCUGCAGCCGAUUCCUUUUUGGGAGUCUGACAAAGUGUGCUGCUUGUCUGGGAAAGUUUGGGAAGAGGAUGAAUUCAUGGAUGCUGCAAAGUUCUAGUUGGAUAAGUGGUCGAUGAAGGUGGUGGAAAUCGAGCAGGAGCUGAUCUAUGGGAAUGUUUAUCGGUCAAUAUAAAUAAGCUGGAAAUACAAUGAAGUCAAAGAUCUUGGAGAAAUUCGCUUGGGAAUGAGUAAUAGCAGAUGGGUGUCCUUCGCCCCCCACCAUACUAACCAGCGGCCCAUCGCUGCUCGGAUCCGGUGAUCGCGCCUGAGAUGGGUUGAAGGAUCGCUUCAAACAAGUACGAAGGAAGCCAUGGAGUACUUUUCUUUUGAGGGGGUGAUGGCAGUGGCGCGAGGCUGCCGGGGACUACAGGAAGACAGCGCUAACCAUGAAGACGAUGGCGACAAUGCAGCGAGAGGCUGCCGGGCUGCCCCGGGGAUGACAAGGUGGUGCCGCCGUUGAAGACACUGCGAGGCUGUCCAAAAGAGCACAAGAUGGAGCUGGCGAUGGUGAGGCGACGACUGCACGAGCGGCUAGGACGAUGGAGCCACCGGCGGCUCGCGGCGGCAAGUACAUCGGCGGCUCGCAGCGACAAGUGCGUCGGUGUGGUGCAUACGCAUGAGAGAAAGGGUGAGGAGGAGAAGAUAAAGGUGAGUAGGGAGCCGCGUGGAGAAAAAGAGGGGGGCUUUUAGUUUCGGUUGGUGGCUCUAACCGGGAUAAAAUGUCCCUCGUCGCACUACCCGUUACAUCCGGGAUUAAAGGGAUGGAUUUAGUCCUGGUUGGUCUUUACAACCGGGACUAAAGCCCACCCCCCGCGAUGUCCUUGGAUGGCACAUUUUUGACCUGGAACUAAUGGCACUUUUGUUCUGGGUCCAAUGUUAACCAGGACAAAAGCACCUGGAUGGAAGGUCAGUUCUCUACUAGUGGGAGUCCAUUUUCAAUGUUGUGCAUAUACAUGGAAAGCUGAGAAGGCACACUUUCUAAUGGUGCUAGUGUCAUGUCCUAAUUCCAUCAAACAAGAAUCGUCGAAACAACUGUACGUCACCGUCUUUUGUCGAAACAACUAGACGUCACCGUCCUUUGAGCCUUCGGCCCGUGUAUCAUGUUGGAGACAUUAUGGGUGCGCCCAGGGGUCUUCACACCCCUCACUCUUUAUAUUCAGUAGUCACCACCCAAGAUAGGGUUUGGGUUUUGCUUAGAUUCAAUCUGCCAUUGUACAUUCGCCGUUCAUUGAUUUAUGGGACUCCAACUUCGUGUGCUUAAUUCAAGGUUUCCUACAAUUGAGUUGUGUUUUCUAGAUCUUGCUUGUGUUCUUAAUUAUCUUGCGGGAGGUAGCCAUUGUGGCGAGGUCAGUGGGGUUGUGCACGGUUGAUAAAUAGAGGAGAAGUAGUGCUUCUAUUGAGGGGUUCGGAUCUUGCAGAUCCAAAAUCGGAUCAAGUGUGUUACUACACCACAAAAUCGAGAGUUACCCUCAUCUGACGGAAGAUCGGGUACCUUAGUUCCCGUUGUAGAAAAAACUACUGAUAAAUAUUAUGGGAGUUUCACCAAUAGAAAUUCUUAAUCCCACUGCAUGGGUUCCUUACAAGUAUAAAUUAAAUCAACAUUAUGAUACAUAUGGAUUUGUACAUCUCAAAUCACUUAUGUCUCCAAAUUGGAACCGAGUUUGUACAAUUCCAAAGUCCUGAAUAAGUUUGUACAACUCAAAUUUCAAUAAGUUGUACAUAUUUUGACACUACAACACCAUCAGAUUGGAUAUCAAAUACACAUACAAACACAAAGAUUACUCAAAAUCUGCAGAUGGCUAGGGACAAUGAGAUUAUUCCGACUCACAAAGAGGAUCAGGAAGUUGAGAUUAUUCCAAAUCUUCAAGUGGAUCAUUUGAAUAAAUAGUGAUAAGCUUGUCAUUAAAUGCAAUGGGGUCCUCUUUGUUUGGAGUAGUGUUGUUACAUGGUGUUGACAUCGAUUAUGGGUACUGUCGGUGUCACAGUAACCGGGGCCUCCUUAGUCACGGCCACGCGGACACCACGAUGAGGCCGAACUGAAGGCCAGCCGAUCGCCGCAAGAAAUGGCAGGGCAUGUGUGCCACCCGACUCGGUACCACGGGUGGUAAUACGUCCUAGGGUUGCGGCAAACCCACGUCCCGUGCUAGCCCCAAGACGUCACCUGGAAAGAGCCCCGAGAAGGUGGGAUCCUAGGCAACCACACUGAGCUGGCUCUUCCUUUGGACUGAAGGAAAUCCUGACAUAUGGGUGCACAAAUUCCAAGGUGAAGACCAUGGGCUGUAAAUAUUGAUGAAGCAAGCAUGCAGCAACACCCCUAUAGUGACAGAGAUUUUUUAGAACAAGGAUGGUAUCAUGCAUAAACCAAGGACAAGACAAGACCAAACACACCUCCACAGCGUACGAGUGAGACUUGAAAUAAUAUCUUCAUUGUCUUAUUAGGUAAAAGGUGGGCUCUCUCCAUAUUAUAUAAGGAGGGUCCUCAAAUUGAUGAGGGGACCGGAUUUCAUCAUGCUUGUAAUCCCCCAUUCAAAUAACAGCAAGAACAUACAGAGAAGCGGGACAUGGAGCUAUUAUCCUCGGGCAGGCCCGAACCUGGGUAAACAAUCCUUACGUGCUCACCACAUAUGCAAUCCUAGGAGAACAGUGUGUUCAGCCCGAGGCCGAAUCUCAAAAGAGGUUUCCUCAUACCCCUACUCCGAUGUUGCACGCCUUCAGCUGGUGAUCAUGCAUAGCUUGUCUUUGUCACGCCCCGCGGACGCGAACAAAGGCUUCAGGCUGGAUGACCAUUCAACCCACAAGAAGGCCCGGUAGGACCAUGAGGCUUCCGGGAGGCGACAAGCUGGUGCUCACGUUGUGGGAAGAGAAGAGGGCACACUAACACACUAAUAAUCCGAGUAGGUAAUUUCAACCGGGACUAAAUGGAUGGCCUUUAGUCCCGGUUGGUGUUUUCAACCGGGACUAAAUGCCCCACCAGAUUCUCUCAUCCUACCUAGCCAUUACAACCAAGACUAAAGGGGGCUUUUUAGUCCCGGUUGACAUUACCAACCGAGACUAAAGCUCCCGUCAUCGGUGAUGGCCGGUGGUGGCCGUUUUACCCGGGACUAAAGGAACUUUAGUCCCAGGUUCAAAAAGCGUCGAGAUAUAUGUCUCUGGAUGGAAGGUCUAUUUUCUACUAGUGUAACCACAGGAAUCCCACAAGCUACCUCUCUCUGGCUUCUUCUUGGUAAUCUGGUCAGUUCCUAUAUAGCUCAUUAGCAUUCAAUAAAUCCAAGGAAUAUAGCAAAAAUAUAAGUCAUGAUGCAUUGUUGUGGACAUUAUUUUAUCCUGAGCCGUGAAUAAACCAGCCUGUCAUGUUCUUUAUCCUUGUGAAUUAACGGAGUGAUAAUUGACAUGAAAGAAUCUAGGUCCUUCAUAGCACUAUACACAAUCAAUGACAUGGCGCAUGGAUCGUGUACAUCACUCUGGUGUGUGACUACAAGGUUACAGACUUAAGACAAAAUGGAAGCAGUGGCCAUGCAUUUUAGUUGACUGCCGUGCCCAGAUGCUCUACAUCCGGUAUCUAUAUCUUUGGCAUGGAGAGACACCACUGAUCAUCUACUGAAACUAGCUUAAUUUCAGACUCCAUGUACCCAUUAUAUAAUUUGACCGGUGAGAAUUUUGGAGUUUCCACGAAACAAACCUUACUAAAAUGACAUAACAUCAAUGAAAUAAAACAAAGUAGCAAUGCAUUAUUACAUCCAGUUUAAGGGUACCAAACUAGCAAACAUAUUGUUCUCCAUAAAAAAGCAUCAUAUGGUUUGAUGCACUUUAUGGGCUUGUUCUUCCAGAAGUCAUGGCAAUGUACACAGUUUACAGCACAGUACAUGACUAUAUGCUUUUAUUUCCCUCCAGAAAGUUGACAUCAUUCAGAACCUACAGAAAACCAUGAGGCAAAGUUGGCUUGAUUGAAUGAUUUGGGUCAACUGGAAAAUUUCCUGUAGGAUAGUUGGCAGCCUUUCUUCCUCUAGUUGAUUUAGUUGUUGAACCUGUACACCAAAUAUGUUAUGUUAACCAUAAUGGACAUAAAUGUUCUUUUGAAAGAUUGGUCAAGAGAGUAAACAGUUCCUGGUGUUCCAGAUUUGCUAGUAAAAUUAACACUAGUUGCACGAUUAAAUCAGUCAAGACAAACUAAAGUUUCCAAGCUACAUUGUAAAAUAUAAUAGGUGCCUGGAGAUAGUAAAUAGUCUCUCAAGUAAAGCAUAUUUGAUCUGUAUAUAUCGUUUAAGGGCACAUACCAGCUCGACCAUGACCAUCCAGACCAGCUAACCUCUGCAUAAUCCAAAAAUAUGAAUGAAUCAAAAUAUAUAUUUAUGAAAAUAAAUACAUAACGCUACCAUAAAAGGUUUUACUGAUGCACAGUUACAUUUUUUAAGGAGAACUGUGGGGGAGUUCCCCACAGUGCUUUAAAACAGAGGAUAUUUAUAAAGUUUAUGGAAUACUUACAACAUAGGGGGUGGGGUGGGGUGGGGGGGCUAAUUAAAUUAAGUUAUUUUUACUAGCCAUUGUACAAUUGGAGGCCUAAGAUCCUGUCUAACUCUGUGAAGUUGGCACAGUUACAUUAAAAGUUUUAUAAUGUAGAAACUUUCUAAAUAUAUUUGUUCUGAGUACUCAUACCAUGGUGGACACCCUUAUUUUCAUGCAAUAGUUUCUGCAAAGGGAUGACUAUAUCUUCUUAUGAAGUUUUCUCCCUCUGAACAUGCCUGUUAUUGGCCCGUUUGUUUUAAGGAACUCCUCCACUUCAAGUUUGGAACGGAAUUUCCUUUGGUACACCCUGUGUUCGUAGGUCUGCAUAUAAACAAUUUAUAUGGAGUUAAUAUUAUGUUUUUACAUGAGUAAUAAUAAUGUGACCAAAAUAUAUGCUAUACUUCAUAAGAUUCCAUGGACUGUCCUUGAGCCUUGAAAUGCAGUCUUCAAACUUUAUCAAGUUCUAAUGUUGUAUACAUGCACAGCAUAAUAGAACCACAAUAUCUUGUGAAACUUCCACUCAUGAAAGUAAACUCAUUUUUAUUUUAUAAAACAAUGAUAAAUAAAAUGUAAAGGAUUUUGAAACAUUCUGGCCGAACUUGUCGUCUAAGAAUAAAAUCAGAAGCUUAUAAGAUAUAAUAUAUCCUAGUUCAGAGUUUUGUCAAGACACAGUGCACCAUCCCUGCAUUAAAUUAUCUUCAACAUUAGUUUAUGUUGUCAUAUGCAUGCAAAGCAUAUAAAAUUAUAAUUUUUUUGCAACAAAUAUUUAUUUUCAAAGAAUAAAAUCCUAAGGAUGUAAUUCAACGUACGUUCUUUACCAAUACUGAGCUCAGUUUUUCACUGAGCAUCCCUACAUUUUAGGAAAUCCAACUAUAAGGAGGGCCCUUCAUCAGAAUACAGAAGACAUGACAAUGACUUGAUGCUCUACAACAUUUCAAGCAAUAAACUUUUGAAGGGCAGUGGAUCAAACCAAUACAGUCUCCCCCGCCCCUGCCCCCACAGUGGAGCUUGGGCCUAGGGCUGGAAAAUAGAUGUGGCAGUACCCAAUUAAGAAGAGUACUGCAGUUAUGAAUAAAAUAAUUAAAUUCACCGUAAACAUAAGAUUCUGGGGAAAAUUAUGUGUGCACAAGCAUUAUUAUUAGAGUAUAAUGCCAAAGAAUCAAUUAAUAUUUCAAUAUUUUUUUUGAAAUAUGAUGGAAACAUCCCAAAAAUAGCUUGGAAGCCACUAAAUAGAUUGUCCAGAUAUAAAUUUUUAUAUAUGUGAAAUACUGUUAUAUGCAUCAUUGUCAACUGAAGCACACUAGCUGAGAUGCUAGAAUUACUACUUGAAUACUGUAAUUUAAAUGAAUUUACACACAACAUAGAACAAUGCAAUGGGCAGAAGAGAAAUCAGAUCGAUGUGUUGGCAUGUAGGGUAUGAAAGCUAGCCUAAGCAGACUAGGCACAUCGCUUGUCUAUGCAUAUGUACAGAGAGAGGAUACUUUCUAGAAGGAUGAUAUAAAGUAUAUCAUUUUAUUUCUGGACAGAAAAAUAGAUCUGUUUAGAAUAGAUCCAACCAGUACUGCCAAACAAAAACACACAUUGAAAUCAUGUAUAACAUCACCUGAGGAAAUAUUCAUCAGGUAGCAAAAGGCAUUUUUGAACAAAACCACAGAUCUAGAUGCACAGAUGCAAGAAUAAUCAAAUAUGGAGAAGGUGCCAUAACAUGCUAAAUAGAAUUACUAACCCAGUCCUUGUGCCCAUCAACAACUCUUGUGUGGAGGAAAGCUGUCCAAUCCUCUUCCUUGUAAGAUUCAAGCGACUUCAGCGAUUGAGGAAAACAACAGAUGGGUUGUUCUUUGACAGGAACAAAUUGAUCUCUUAAAUGACCAAGCUUAUUCUUAUCAAAGGGGAUAGGUUCUUUUCCUCCAUAGGGACUGAGAACCACACUCAAAGGAACCGCAGCUGGUGGCUCCUGACCCUUCAACUUUGGAUCAUCAAUAUUCAGUGGUUUUGGUGGAGCAGAGAUGAUAUCUUCAUUCUCCGCACGGAUCACUGCAGGAGGCGGGGAUGGAGUCAUCUCAAAGUCACUCCACUCUACGGAUGAUGAAUCCAUGACCUAGUAGAGAUGUUAGACUUCGGGCCUAGCAACCAAAUGAGCAAAUGCCUUAAGCUGUUUGUCUUUCUAACUAUAACGUCGACUAGGGGUGGCUUGUGAAUAUUAUAUAGUCCAAAGUAAAAGCUUGAUUUAUUUCGAGGUGAACUGUAAAGCUAUACAAGUCCAAAAUAAAAGUUUGUCUAUUUUCCAAGGUGACCUGUAAAGAUAUACUAGUUCAAAAUAAAAGCAUGCUACUUUUCUUGGGGAAACUAAAGGUACACAUCAUAACGGACACUAGGGAUAGUAUCCAGCUACUGCCUUCGUCCCGAGAUAUGUAUUUUGUCUAUGUAUCUGGACAAGUGCAUGUCUAGGUACAUAGCUAGAUAUCUUUUAUUUAGAAUAUACAGGGAAUAUGCCAUAUUUAAUGCAUGGCAAGCAAAAACCAUUUGCCAGCUUUUUCCUAGUUGUAUUCUAAAUAUGAGCCAUCAGUUUUUCUCGAGUUGAGGGCCUGUUUAAGUUGACCUGAAUUGUAGAACUCAGUUUUUAUAUUCCAGCUUGUGAUACAAACAACUCAGAUUAUGAUCCAGCUUUUACAAUCUACCAACUUUAAGAAUUCCAGAAGCUACCUCACCCAUGGAGCUCCCACGUCCAAUUGUUGGCCACCAUCGUGGUUCCCCUGUCAAAGCUGUGCUGCAUUGUCCGGACUAUGGCCAGGCAUUUGCCAUUGCACACUGGUUUGUUUGGAGACAGAGUAGCUUUUGUAUAGGGCGCCUUAUCACAAAAAUUGAUUUAACAUUUUUACGCUUUGACUGUAUAGUGUUGCACAGGCUAGUCUUAUGUAGUCUAGUAGAUGGUGCGCAUGAAUGGUAUAUUUAACAAAAUUUCAUGUGUUGUGCCUUUUGGUACUGUUUUGUGUCUUGGAAAUUACUUAGGAAGUCUAUCACAUUAUUUGUCGGACAUAAUAAAUACAGUAUAUAGGAAAUUCAUUUAUUUGUUUCACAAGUGUUCCUCGGGGCUUGACUAUAGAUUUUCCUAUGAAUGUUCUAUGACUAUAGGAAAUGCUUUUGAUGGAAGAUUUCCUAUGAAUGUUCUAUGGCCAGAUUGAGUAGGUGCCUAAUAUUUGAUAUAAGUUCUCAAACCUAUCAAACGAUCUAAGAUGGAAACAAGGUCAACAUCAAAGUUGUUGUACUCUGAGAUCUAAAACUUUGUAGUUGACAACUUCAAUUUUUCAUUCAAGAUCAUUUUAACAUUCAAAGAUUAAAUAUAACAUCAAAAGUUUAAAUAAAAGGACAACAUCCUUUCACUGGUCAAAAGUGACUAUGUGGUUUAGGUGUAUGGUUGGGUCAUGCGACCCAUGUGGUCACAGGUUCGAAUCCUCGAGGAUGCACUCUUUGUGUAUACCACUAGCCACACAAGGAGUUUACAAUGAGUUGUUCACAUUUUUAUACUUUUUGGAUCCAUAUGUGUCGAUAUUUUAUACCCGGCAACCUACCGAGGGGUAUCCCGAGGUAUUAUAUUGGUUGGUGGGGGAUCGCCAGAUCUGGAACUUUAUGGUAAAAGCGAGGACACAAGACACAUAUUUAUACAGGUUCGGGCCGCCAGAGUAGCGUAAUACCCUACAUCCUGUUUGGGGUGUUGUAUAUUGCGCCCUGCACUUGGGUAUUGUUUGGUGUUGAGGAUUUGGUCCUCUGUUGUGGUUCUGCCGAUCUAGGUACCCCUGCCCUCCUUUAUAUACUCUAGGGGGCAGGAUUACAAGCCAGUUACAAGGUAUGAGUCCCAGUAGGAUUACAUGAUAUGAAUCCCAGUAGGAUUAAGGGGAAUUCUAGUAGGAGUCCGUUUUCUUUAUUCCUUACGGGUACUGGAGAUCUAUCCCCGACAAUCGUUUGUUCGGAGUUGGGGCAGUGAGGACCGGUGCCUUGGAUAGGAAGUCUCUAAGUUGAAGUAGAGCCCUGUCAACCUCCUCGGACCAAUGGAACUUGUCAUGCCGCUUCAGUAGCUUGAAGAAUGGUAGACCUCGUUCCCCAAGUCUUGAGAUGAAUCUGUUGAGCGCCAUCAUCCAUCCAGUUAGCUUCUGGAUGUCCUUGAUACUUGAUGGAGCAUGCAUAUCGGUGAUGGUGGAGAUCUUCCCUUGGUCAACUUCAAUGCCUCGGUGACUAAUGAUGACCCCGAGUAGUUUUCCGGAUGGCAUGCCAAAGACACAUUUAGUCGGGUUGAGCUUCCACGGGAAUUCUCGCAGACUUGCGAAGGUUUCUUCUAGAUCCGCAAUCAGGUCAUUGGGAUUUCUGGUCCUUGCGACCACGUUGUUCACGUACACCUCGAUGUUGCGGUGUAGCUGCUUCUUGAAGCACUCUUGGAUGGCCCGUUAAUAAGUCGCGUCGGCAUUCUUCAACCCAAACGACAUUGUCGUGUACCACAAAGCUCUGUAUGGGGUGAUGAAUGCGGUCUUGAUUUGGUCCUCUUCUUUGAGAGAUAUCUGGUAACACCCCGAGUAGCAAUCGAGGAAACAAAGUAGGGCGCAACCAACUAUGGAAUCGAUGACUUAAUCAAUCCUCAGGAGCCCGAAAGGAUUCUUUGGACAGUGCUUGUUGAGGUUGGUGUAGUCGACAUACAUCUGCCACUCGUUGUUCUUCUUCUUGACCAAGACGGGAUUGGCCAGCCACUCUGGAUGGAAGACUUCCUUGAUGAAGCCUGCUGCGACUAGUUUGGCUAGCUCCACUUUGAUGGCUUCCCUUCUGUCUUAGGCGAAUCUGCGUAGGCGCUAUCUUUUCGGUGUAGCUUUUUGAUUUACGUUUAGCGAGUGCUCGAUCAACUCCCCUAGCAUGUCCACUGGUUUUCCGUGCAAAGAUGUCACGGUUGGCCCGAAGGAAGCUGACGAGCGCACUUUCCUAUUUAGAAUCCAGCCCUGUGCCUAUCAGGGCUAUCUUGGAGCUAUCACCGAUCUAAAGGUCAAUGGCUUCGACGUUGACUUCAUUUGCUGGCUUGACCUUAUCUGCCCCCGACUUCUUCUCUAGUAUAUCGAGUUCUUCGUUGGACAGGUUCUUGGAUGGUGCUAAGACUUGCAUCAUUGAAUUUGGCACUUGAGUAGUUGUUGUGAGUUCCAUAGCUUCCAUGUCGCAGUCGUAUGAUCUUUUCAAGUCUCCGCGCAGGGAAAGUACUCCCUUGGGUCCCGGCAUCUUGAGUAUUAGGUACACGUAAUGCGGGAUGGCCAUGAAUUUAGCUAAUGCUGGUCUUCCAAGGAUGGCGUGAUACGAUGUUUCGAAGUUAGCCACCUUGAAUCUGAUGUUCUUAAUCAGGUAGUGUUCUUUUGUCCCGAAGCUAACUAGCAAAACCACCUGACCAAGGGGUACAGUUGCAUUGCCUGGGACGAUGUCGUAGAUUGGAGAGUUCUUUGGGGUGAGCAUGUCGGUGACGUCGAGGCCCAUAUUCUUUAGCAUUUUGGCAAAGAGGAUGUUGAGGUCACUACAACUAUUGAUGAGUACUUUGGUGAGUCUGGAGCCUGUGACCACCGGAUCCAGGACGAGAAGAUAGCGCCCUGGGUCUGAGAAACUAGUCCAUUGGUUUGCCCUUGAGAAGGUAAUAGGCACCUCCGAACAUUUAAGGAAAGUAGGCGCUACGGGUUCAAUGGACAUGAUCUCUUGUAGGGUAAGCUUCUGGGACCGCUUGGUGGGGAGUCCUGAUGAGCUACCAAAGAUGACAUUAACCGUUUUUGACGGGUUUUGGAAGUUGUUGUUCUCUCCAUCAUCUACGUCUUCCUUGGCUUUUCUCUUGUCUUUGGCGCCAGAUGGUUCCAGCGCGUCCUUCAUAGCUUUCCGCAGGCUGAAGCAAUCCCACGAAGAGUGCUUAUGGUGCGGGUGCUACGGGAUUUGUAUCUUCAAGAGUUCGUUGAACGAGGGCCUGUCUGAGUUCUUGUUGCCACCGUUCUUGGAUGAGCAAUGCAUCGUCGUGACUGUGUUGUUUGGCUUGCGCUUGUGGUUCUGACUUCCCGAGUAGUUACUCCGAUUGUCAUUGUUGGGGCGAUCGUUGUGGUUAUUUUCAUUGCGUUGGCCAUUGCUAUUGUUGUUGUUCUGGCUCUUGUUGUUGUUCGACUUGAACCUUUCAUCUCCUUGUCUUCUUCUUCGACCCAAGUCUGAGGCAUGACAUUUAAGGAUUUGAUGCUAUUUGGGCACCUCCUUUGGAAGUCUUGGAACAUUCGGUGGUCAAAGAGGUCGUUCUGGAAGCAAUCGAUGAUGUCGUUCUCUGUGACAUCCAUGAUUGUGGCUUUAUUGUCAAAGAAGCAGCGUAUGUAGUUUCUCAAGGUCUUGCCUUGCUACUACUUGGUCUGGAAUAAGUUGAGUCUGUUGCCAGGACGCUGCAUUGCUCCUGCGUAAUUACUGGUGAACACCUUCUUCAGAUCUUCCCACGAAUCGAUGGAGUUUCUUGCAAGCGACUCGAGCCAUGUUAGAGGUGCUGCCACAAUGCAAAUGAGGAAGUAGUUUACUUUGGUGUCAUUGUUGCCACCGAUGGUUUGUACUGCCAAUGAGUAGCAUCAGAGGCUUCGGACCGGGUCUUACUUGCCAUCAUACUUGGUGAUUCCCGGGACUUUGAACUUCUCGGGUAGAAGUGUCCUCCUAAUGCAUCUGGAGAAAGCGGGAAACCCGUCAAUGUCGUCUCUUGGGUGAUCGACUUCUUCCUCACGCUCGGGGCGCUAGCUAUCGAUGAUUCUGCGGGCGUCAUGGUAGGAGUUGAUGUUAUUGCGGAGGUCUUCUAUGGGGCAUUCGGGCUCUGGACGACCGCCUCGGUGGCCAUGGCCUCCCGAUGGUCCUACCCGGCUUCCUUCACCUCCAGCUUGACUUGGUUUAGCGCCUCUGGCUGGUCUGUGCGGAGGGUCGUUACCGAUCUGACUCGGUCUAUGCGGGGGGUCGUUGCCAAUCUAACUUGGCCUCCGGCUACUAGCAUGGUGGCUUCGCUCUGAGCGGUCCACUGAUUGUAUAGGAUUUUGGCAAUCGAGUUGCUUGUAUGCUUGCUCGUCUAGUUCUACAAGCACGUGAGUGUACUUGUUCUGAGGCAUUGCUCGCGAGAUGAGAUUGAUGGAUGCCACAGUAGCCAUGGGAGUGUGAUGUUGGCGCCCUUGGACUUCCUCGAAGGCAUCAUCCAGGUUUAAGAUUGGUAGGGCUUCUCUGAGGCAACGACAAUGCUCAACUCUUGAGGCAUUCCUUGCUCUUCAUGUUGUCCUUUCGGCAUCAGUUUCCUCCCCUAUUACAUCAACAGUGAUCAACUCAUCAUUGGAAACCUCAUCUAGAUAACGCUCGUGUCAUUGGUCUCUAUCCUGUUGAUCUUCAUCUUCGUCAGCAGCGCCAAGGAUAGCAAAGACUUCUCGUUCUGGAGAAUAGCUUCCUAAGCUUGAUGUGAUGACCUCUGUGGUGCCUUCUUCGUGGAUGGGUGAUAGAGGAGCUCCCUCUUGGAACGGGAUUGUAUCAAGAUAAGCAAUGAGGCGCGAAUCGUCGUUUCUGGCAAGAGCUGGUGGCUUCAUGUUAGGACACCCGGACCCCUCCUUAUCCGCUCGCGGCAUCCUCCCUCCUUGCGACUCCCCUGGUCGGAUCCGCCUUCCUCCCUCUCCUCCUUCCCUGGCUGGCUGGAUCCUCCCUCCCUCUCUCUCCUCCUCCUCAGCAGACCUCAACCCUCCUCCCCUUCCCUAGCCAAAUCAAAGCCCUUCUCCUAACCCUGCUACCCCUCCCUCCCCCCUUAGCGCGCCCCUGACUCACCGGUUGCAGUGAGGAGGCACAGUGGGGUGCGGCAGAUUGUGCAGUAGCGGGGGCGGAUGCUUAGAGGCCGGCGGGUGCGGGCGCAGGCGUGGCCUCAGCUAGCGGCCCACGGUGGGGCUCCGGCGGCAGCUAGGUCUCUCUCUCUCUCAGCGUGCAGUGGGGCUCGGGUGGUGGGUGGGGCACGUGCUUGGAGUGGCAGUGGGAAGGACCGACGAGGUGCUAGGUGCGAUGCUAGUGACAGCGUUAGUUUUUUUUUUUUUUCGGUGAUAUCUCGACAUCACCAUCGGCCUAAAUCCACCAAUGCCUAAAAUCGGUUGUAUGUUGUUUUUGACACCAGCAGUGAUGUCCCAUAGUCAAUGCGCUAUUAGGAGUAGUUCAUGGUGCAGCCUUACACUACAAGGUUCGUGCCUAAUACCACGGUUUUUUAGUAACAGUGUAUUUUCAUUGCAAUACAUGGUGGUAUUGCAACAAUAGUUGAUUUUGGUUGCGAUGGGUGACAUGUCGCCACCAAUUGUGUGAUGUUGCGAUAUAAAUUUUGUUAGUUGCAAUAAGGUGGAUAUAUCGCAACGAAUAUAUUUGCAUUGUAAUUACGACGAUGUUAUUGCAAUGCUAGUUGUAAUGGUUGCAAAUAGAUGUCCAUGUCGCAACGAAUAUAAAGCGUUCUACUCUAACUACAACGAGUAUUUUCCUAAUCCUCGACUAGUUCCUAUCUUUCCCUGUAGACUAUGCCGCCCUACGCCAUGGUCUCCAUGUCAGAUGCGUCUCUGUAUCCAACCGAAUAUUUAGGACCGUCCAAAUCUUUUGGUGGGCCCAUAGAUGAUGCAUGUACCACAAUAUGUUUCAACUACUAUUUCCCAUCAUAUAUGUAUUCAUACCUUGAAAUGGAGAUAUGGAGGCUAACUAAUUUUAUUGGAUACUCAAUGGGGGAACUAGAUUUCAAGGUGCUCAGACACGUUUUAGGCAAUGUUUUUAAAUGUGGAUCGGGUUAGUUGAGUUUUUUGAUGCUUUUGUGAUGCCGGAUGGUAGUGUGGAACAAGAAAUGUUACGGUAGGGCUUGUUGUUUUUUAUUUCAUGGAUUAUUUGGCAACGAAUCCAAUGCGAGCACACCCUAUCGGACAUCCGGGUUCAAAUGGUCAUGGGCAGGGUCUCUGGUGACAUCAUCGCGUUGCAUCAGUUGUGCAACAGGGGUGUAGCUGCGGCAGAUAGGACACACGAGGCGAUCUGCAGAUAGCGGCGGGUGACAUAGCGUUGGGUUUGUCUCGUGAGCCGAGCUGAAUGUGCGUUGCAGCAUUCGUUCCACGCCUACGUUCGCUCAAGGACAUGGACCUUACCAGUGAGGAGUACCUGGAGCUCUUGGAUGCGCUACCUCACCCCGGCAAAACUACAGUACUUGUACGGCACAUAGAUUCCAAAUGUAGCGGAGAAACACGAACUGAGCGUUGGUCAUCAGGCACAAGAGAACUGGCCACUCAAGCAAUGACAACCCCGUCAUGGGACUAUUGCAAGCUGCUUCCUGUAACUUCUGAACAUGAAUGCAUGAUGUGCACUUCGUGUGUACCUGAGCCUGUUCACACAAACUGAUCUGCUCACCACCCUCCUAAUUAACAAUAUUCUCAAUGAUGUCAUAAUACUGGAGAAAAUAUUCACACAGCCGACUAACACGUACACGCUAAUGAUUAUCUCAAGCUUGCAUCAAGUCCAAUACUGGAGAAAAUAGACAAGAAAUAAUAAUUUGGAUUAACUAUAGAUGAGUUCAAAUACUAAUGAGGUCGCAAUUUAUAUAUGCUAUGAAUCAAAACCACUGCUAGUAACUUCACCAGACAUGUGAUGAACAUGCGAGAUGCCUUAGAUCUUGCAUCAGGCAGAGCAUAUAUCAGACAUGUGAUGAAUACGAGGUGCAUCACCAUAUCUUGCAUCAAGCAGAGCAUAUAUCUAAUUUGAGCUGGUUGAAGCAAAUCAUCUAAAUAAUAUAAUAUGACCAUUGAGAAUUUUUCUGUUUCCACAAACGAAUAUUACUUAAACAACAUAUAUAACUUCCACGAAAUAACAUAUAGGUAGCAAUGCAUUAUCACAUCCAGUUUAAGGAUACCAAACUAGUAGCGAACAUGUUUCCACCAUAAGAAGCCUCAUAUUGUUUCAUGCACUUAUUGGCUUAUACUCUUACUGGAGCUAUGCUAAUCAACACAGCUUAUAGCACACUAAAUGGCCAUAUCCUUUUAUUUAUAUCCAGAACCUACAGAAAACCCUGAGGCAUAUCUGGCUUGAUUGAACGACUUGGGCCAACUGAAACAUUCUCUGUGGCAUAGUUGGCAGCCUUUCUUCCUCUAGUAGAUUUAGCUUUACCUGUAUACAUAAUAUGUUGUGUUAACCAUAAUGGACAUAAAUCUUGGUUUGAAACAUUGAUCAAGAGAGUAAACAGUUCCUGGUUUCUCAUAUUUUGCUAGUAAAAUUAACACUAGUUGCAUGAUUAAAUCUAUCAUUACAAAGUAAAGUUUCCAAGCUACAUUGUAAAAUACAAUAGGCGCAUAGAGAUAAAAUAGUAUCUCAAGGAAAGCACAUAUUUGAUAUGUGUAUAUAAUUGAAGGGCACAUACCGGCAGGACCAUCAGCACCCGGACCAACAAUUUUCUGCAUAAUCCAAAAAUAUGAAUGAAUCAAGUUAUGUGUUUAAUUGAAAUAAAUACAUAAAACUACUAUAAAGGUUUUACUGAUGCACAGUUACACUAAAAGAUUUACAAUGCUGAAAUUUCAUAAAGGUUUCACUGAUGCACAGUUACACUAAAAGAUUUGCAAUGCUGAAAUUUCAUAAGUAUUCUGUUGGUAGUAUAAACGCUAUGGAUGACACAUUUAUUUCGUGCCAUAAGUUUCUGUAAAGGAGUGACUACCUUCUUCUGAAGUUUUGUCCCUCUGAACAUGCCAGUUGCCGGUCCAUUUGUUUCCAGAAAUUCUUUCACAUCAGGUUUGGAACGGAACUCCCUGCGGUACAACCUAUGUUCGUAGGUCUACAUAUAAGCAAUUUACUUGGAGUUAAUAUAAAGCUUUUACAUAAAUAAUAAUUUGAGAAAAAUAUAUGCUACAAGGACAGUCCAUCUUGAGCCUUGAGACAUUCAGUCUUUAAAAUUUAUCUUUCAAACAACAGUUUCUAAUGUUGUAUAUAUCCACAGCAUAAUAAAACUAUAAUACCUCGAGAAACUUCUAUUCAUGAAAAUAAACUCAUGUCUAUUUUAAAUAACAUUAAUGGAAACAGUUUAAGGAUUUUCAAACAUAGGGUGGUCGAUCUUUGUCAUAUAAGAACAAAAUAAGCAGUUUAUAAGAUAUGAUAUAGCCUAGCUUAGAGAUUUUUCAACACACAAUGAACAAUCCCUGCAAUCAAUUAUCCUCAACAUUAGUUUACAUUGUCAUAUGCAUGCAAAGCAUGUGAAAUUAUAAUAUAUUGUGAACUCUUUCCUGAAAUUUAACUCACUUUAAAAAAAACAUUGACAGAAAACUAAAAUUCAAACAUUUUCACCCUGCAACUGAUAUUUAUUGUCCAAGAAUAAAACCGGAAUUAUGUAAUCCAUUUUAUGUUGUUUACUGAUAAUGUGCUCGGUAUUUCAUUGAACAUCCCAGCAUUUUAUGAAAUCCUAGUAUAUAAGCUUAUGAUGUAGAUCAGUGGGCUCAGUAUCAGAAAAACUUGUGGCAAUGACUUGACUCUCUCUCUCUCUCUCUCUCCCUGCCUCCCUCAGCCACACCGUGGAUGAAAUGUAUGUGGAGCUUGAGACUAUGGCAGGAAAAUAGAUGUGGCAGUACUAUACCCAAUCAAUUAGGACAAUCAGGAAUUAAAAUUGAUAUUCAUAGUAACCAUAACAUUCAGAGGAUUGAAAAAUGAUGUACGCACAAGCAUUAUUAGAAUAUAAUGCCAAAGGAUGAACUCUUGUUUCAAACUUUCUUGAAAUAUGAUGGAAACAUCCCAAGAAAUGCUUUGAAACCACUAAAUAGAAUGUCCUGAUAUAAAUUUAUACAUAUGUGAAAAUAGUGUCAUAUAUAUCAUGCUCAAUUGAAGCACACCAAAAUGCUAGAAUUACUAAAAAAUUAUAUUUUCAAUGAUUUUACACACAACAUAGAACAAUGGAAUGGGCUGAAGGGCAAUCAGAUCGAUGUGUUGACAUGUAAGGUUUGAAAGCCUAAGCAGAGAAGGCAUAUCGCUUGUCUAUGCAUAUGUACAGAGUACUUUCUACAAGGGUUAUAUAACUACACCAUUUUACUUCUAACCCAAAAUAGAUCAGUUUGGAAUACAUAGAUCGAACCAGUACUGCCGAAUAAAAGCAUACAUUUGAACCAUAAAUCACAUCACCUCAGGAAAUAUUAUUCAGUUAACACAGAGUAUUCCUAUGGUAGCAAAAGGCAUUUUGAACAAAACCACAAAUCUAGAUACACAGAUGCAAAGCUAAUCUACUACGGGUAAGAUAGAAAUACUAACCCAAUCCUUGUGACACCCAUAAGAUCUAGGGUUAACGAAAGCUUUCCAAUCCCCUUCCUCGUAGUUUUUAAGUGACUUCAGCGAUUGGGGAAUCUCAACUUCUUGUUUUCCAUCAUGCAUAGAUUGUUGUUUGACAGGAACAGACUGGUCUCUUAAGCGACCAAGCAUAUUCUUGUCAAAGGGGAUAGGUUCUUUUCCUCCAUAGGGAACGAGAACCAUUCUCAAAGGAACCGCAUAUAGUGGAUCCGUACCCUUCAUCUUUGGAUCUGGAAUAUUCACCGGGUUUUGCAGAGCCGGCAUGGUCUGUUCCUCCUCCGCUUUGCUCACUGCAGGAGGUGGGGAUUCAGAUAAGGUCAUCUCGGAGUCACUCAACGAAUCUUGGUUUUCUACUAGGGAUGAAUCCGUGACCUACUAGUAGAGGUGCGAGACUUUUGCACCUGGCAACUAAAUGGGCAAAUGCCUUACACUCUUUGUUCUUCUUCAUAUAAUAUAUAAAGUGGAGCAGGGUGGCUCGUGAAUAUUAUAUAGUUCAAAAAUCUUAAUGUUUAUAAGGUGAAUUGUAAAGAUAUAAUAGUCCAAAAUAAAAGCUUGCCAAUUUUUCUAGGUGACCUGUAAAGAUAUAAUAGUCCAAAAUAAAAGCAUGCCUAUUUUUCUAGGUGACCUGUAAAGAUAUACUAGUCCAAAAUAAAAGCUUGCUACUUUUCAUAUGCGAAACUAAAGCUAUACAGCAUAUAGUAACCGAAAACAUGGAUAGCAUGCAGGUAUUCUGGCUAUAUACAUGGUAUUCUGGCUAUGUACAGGUCGUCUUGAGAUAUAUACAUGGUAUUCUGGCUAUGUACCUAGACCGGUGCUUGUCCAGGUAGGUAGCCGGAAUACCUUUUAUUUUACGAUAGAGGAAAUAUGCCAUAUUUAAUGCCAUUUGCUAGUUUUUUCUUGUUGUAUUCUAAUUAUGAGCCAGCUGUUUUGCUUUGGUUGAGGACCUUUCUGGAUCCACCUAAAUUGUAGCCCAGUUUUUGCAUUCCAGCUUGUGAUAUAAACACCUCAGAUUAUAAUGCACUUUUACAAUCCACCAACUGAAUUCCUGAAGCUACCUCACCACUUUGGCUCUCUUUUACAAACUUGCAUCGCUUUGUCAAGAGACUAGGGAGGAACAAUGAGAUCUGGAUGCAUUUUCCACAGCCCGCUGCUUUAUUUGUAGACUAAGCGGCCGCCUUAGCACAAAAAACUAAUUUAACGUUUUAAUGCUUGACAGACAAGCGUGGCAGGAUAGUCUUACGCAGCACACUAGAUAGAGCCGAGGAACGAUUUAUUUAAACAAUUCCAUGUCUUGUGCCCGUGGUACUUAUGUGUAUAUUGGACAUUAUUUACGAUAUAUAGCACAUUUUUGUCAAACAUAGUAAAUACAGUAUAUAGGAAAUUCAUUUCUUUAUUUCACAAGUGAAUUCCAGGCUUGAUUAUAAAUUUUCUAUAAACGCUUUCCGAUGGAAGACUUCCUAUGAAUUUUCAAUGAAUAGAUUGAGUAGGUUUGCGACUAAAAUUUUCUUGAAUUAUGUAGUUUCAUUUGCAUAGCUUCAUUGUAGAUUUUCUAUAAACUUUCUAUGACUAGAAAAUUCUACGGAUCUUUUUCUAUCUAUACAUUUAUUUCUUGUGAUAGAGUUAUUAACAUACUUUGUUUGGUCAUAGAGCAUUAUAAAAAAUCUACUUUGACUACAUUCAAUGUUAAAUGCUCUAUGGCUAUAGAAAAUUCUAAACGUUUUGUGCAAAUGAUGAGUAGACUUUUGUUAACCUUAAAAAUUAUUGGUAUAUUUACCAAAUCAUAUUGUUGAUUUUUAUUUAUUAAAGUUACAAUCCAUUCCAUAUUUUUAAUCGCUCGAGCUAAUAUCCUUUAUUGCUAAGUAGAAACUCAUUUUGGCAACAAUAAAUUAUGAUAUGUGAUAUCCCCAAAUAGUGGCCUGACAUGCCAAAGUAACUACAUCACUUAUAGGAAGAGAUCUCCUUCCAUUCACUCCGAGGGAAUUUGGAUCUGAGACCAGUGCCAUUGGAAAUCUUAUCUCUUUGGCUUUCUUGUUUAUAUAUGGAACGCCAAAAACGUAGCCUAUAUGUGACCGGAGCGGCGAAUUUAGUGCGGACUACUCCUGUACUUCGAGGUGGACCCUUACUUGAUUUGCUUUGGACCUCCACUUUGGCAUCUCGAAUUUGAUAAACUUCAUACCUCUUUUGGUCUUGAAUGCCAAAGCAGCCUUUUCACUAUUAUUGGGUGUGACCAGGAUAUAGUUUAUCCGGAUGCACGGCCAAAAGUUCGAUUUUGGGUAAUUUAAUGAAUAUAAGGCAUUUAGCUUAAAUCUGUGCUAGUAUUAAUUAUAGUCAAAUUAGUUUAGACUGAGAUUCUUGUGUGGAUCGAUCCAAUAGUAUCCAGACUUUGAGUAAUCCAACUUGUGAUCAAAACAUCCCAGAUUGUGGUCCAGUUUUUACAAUCCACUAACGACAGGAAUCCCACAAGCUACCUCUCCACAGCUUCUUUUUCGUAAUCUGGUCAGUUCCUAUAUAGCUCAUUAGCAUUAUUGAAUCAAGCAAUAUAGCAAAACUAUAAGUCAUAAUGCAUUGUUGUGGACAUUAUUUUAUCCUGUGCCGUGAAUAAAGCAGCCUGUCAUGUUCUUUAUCCUUGUGAAUUAACGGAGGGAUAAGUGAUAAUUGACAUGAAAGAAUCUAGGUCCUUCAUAGAUACACAAUCAAUGACAUGACGCAUGGAUCGUAUACAUCUCUCUGGUCUGUGACUAUAAGAUUACAGACUUACAGACAAAAUGGAAGCAAUGACCUUGCAUUUGAGUUGACUGCCAUGCUCCGAUGCUCUACUUCCGGUAUCUAUAUUUUUGGCACGAAGAAGACAACACUGAUCAUCCACUGGAACUAGCUUAAUUUGAGACUCCAUGUACCCAUGUUGGCAAACAGUCUUCCACUAGGAUGAAAUAGGCAGGCUACAGAUAAGACAUUUGCGUCAUGCCCCUUGAUGACAGAGAAUAAUCCAAUACUGGAGGAAAUAGGGAAGAAAUAAUCAUAUGAACUCAAAUACUAAUGAGGUCAAAAUUUAUAUAUGAUGAAUACUAGGUCCAUCAGAUAAGACAUCAGGCUAAGCAAAUUAACCUUAGGCAGCAGCCAAAGCCUAUAUCUUAUUUUAGGUUAAAGUUAGUUAGACAUCUAUAUAAUAUAAUUUGACCGGUGAGAAUUUUGCAGUUUCCACAAAACAAACCUUACUUAAAUGAUAUAACAUAGACAAAAUACAACAAACUAGCAAUGCAUUAUUACAUCCAGUUUAAGGGUACCAAACUAGCAAAGAUAUUGUUCUCCAUAAAAAACAUCAUAUGGUUUGAUGCACUGUAUGGGCUUGUUCUUCCAGAAGUCAUGCACUGUACACAGUUUACAGAACAUUACAUGACUAUAUGCUAUUAUUUCCCUCCAGAAAAUAUUGACAUCAUUCAGAACCUACAGAAAACCAUGAGGCAAAGUUGGCUGGAUUGAAUGCUUUGGGUCAACUGGAACAUUAUCUGUGGCAUAGUUGGCAGCCUUUCUUCCUCUAGUUGAUUUAGUUGUUGAAACUGGAUAAACUUCAUGCCUCUUUCUAGUCUUGAAUGCCAAAGCAGCUUUUUAACUAUUGGGUGUGACAAGUUUAGCAACUAGUUCAGAGUUCCCAUCAAGGUCAUUUACAUUUAAAGUGGAUUUUAGCAUUAGAUAUCUCACCCAAACCUAAAUAAAACUGGAGUCUUAAACCCUCCAUGGACCAGGGUAUAGUUUAUCCAGAUGCACUGCCACGGGUACGAUUUUGGGUACUUUAAUGAAUAUAAGGCAUUUAGCAUAAAUCUUGGCCAUUAUUAAUUAUAGUCAAAUUAUUUUAGCCUGAGAUUCUUGUGUGGAUCUAAUAGUAUCCAGUCUCCGAGUAAUCCAACUUGUGCUCAAAUCAGCCCAGAUUGUUGUCAAGUUUUUACAAUCCACUGACCACAGGAAUCCCACAAGCUACCUCUCCCUAGCUUCUUCUUCGUAAUCUUGUCAGUUCCUAUAUAGCUCAUAAGCAUUCAAUAAAUCCAAGGAAUAUAGCAAAAAUAUAAGUCACCAUGCAUUGUUGUGGACAUUAUUUUAUCCUGGGCCGUGAAUAAACCAGCCUGUCAUGUUCUUUAUCCUUGUGAAUUAACAGAGUGAUAAUCUAGGUCUUCAUCUUCCUUGGCUUUGCCCUUGUCUUUGGCACCAGAUGGUUCCAGCACAUCCUUCAUAGCUUUGCGCAGGCUGAAGCAAUCUCACGCAGAGUGCUUAUGGUGCAGGUGCCAGGGACACUGUUUCUUCAAGAGUUCGUUGAACGAGGGCCUGUUUGAGUUGUUGUUGCCACUAUUCUUGUAUGAGCAUUGCAUCGCUGUGACUGUGUUGUCUGGCUUGCGCUUGCGGUUUUGACUUCCUGAGUAGUUACUCUGGCUGUCGUUGUUGGGGCAAUCAUUGCGGACCUUGUUGUUGCAUUGGCCAUUGCUAUUGUUGUUAUUGUUGUUGUUCUAGCCCUUGUUGUUGUUGGACUCGAACCUUUCGAUCUCCUUCUCUUCUUUGUCUGCCCAGGUCUGAGCCAUGACCUUGAAGGUUUUGACACUGUUUGGGCGCCUCCUACCAAAGUCAAAUAGGCCGUUCUGGAAGCAAUCAAUGAUGUCGUUCUCUGUGACAUCCACGAUUGUGGCUUUUUUGUUGAAGAAACGACAUAUGUAGCUUCUUAGGGUCUCUCCUUGCUGCUGCUUGUUCGGGGACAAGUCAAUUUUGUUGCCAGAAUGCUGCAUUGCCCCGGUGUAAUUGCUAGCAAACACCUUCUUUAGAUCUUCCCACGAAUUGAUGGAGUUUCUUGCAAGCGACUCGAGCCAUGUUAUUGGUGCUACCUCCAUGCAGAUGGGGAAGUAGACUACUUUGGUGUCAUUGUUGUGCCAGCGGUUUGUACUACGAGUGAGUAGCAUCGGACCUAUUGGACUGGGUCUUUCUUGCCAUCAUAGUUGGUGAUUCCUGGUUGUUUGAACUUGCCAGGUAGAAGUGUCCUCCUGACGCGUCACGAGAAAGCGGGAAACCCGUCAAUGUCAUCUCCUGGGUGAUCAACUUCUUCUUCACACUUGCAGCGCCAGCUAUCGAUGAUUGUGUAGGCAUCGCGAUUGAAGUUGAUCUUAUUGCGGAUGUCUUCUAUGGGGCGUUCAGGCUCUGGACGACUGCCUCGGUGGCCACGGCCUCCCGAUAGUCCUACCCGACUUCCUUCGCCUCCAGCUUGACUUGGUUUAGCGCCUCCGAUUGGUUUGUGCGGAGGGUCGUUACCGAUUUGACUCGGUCUCCACAGGGGGUCGUUGCCAAUAUGACUUGGCCUCCGGCUACUAGCGUGAUGGCUUCGCUCUGAGUGCUCCACCGAUUGUAUAGGAUUUUGGUGAUCGAGUUACUCGUAUGCUCACUUGGCUAGUUCUGCGAGCACGAGAGUGUACUUGUUCUGAGGCAUUGCUCGCGAGAUGAGAUCGAUGGAUGCCACAGUAGCCAUGGGAGUGUGAUGUUGGCACCCUCGAAAUUCUACAGAUCUUUUUCUAUCUAUACAUUUAUUUCUUGUGAUAGAGUUAUUAACAUACUUUGUUUGGUCAUAGAGCAUUAUAAAAACUCUUCUCUGACUACAUUCAAUGUUAAAUGCUCUAUGGCUAUAGAAAGUUCUAAACGUUUUAUGCAAAUAAUAAGUAGACUUUUUUUUAUUCUAAAGUAUCAUUAAUGUAUACUUACCCAAUAUAUUGUUCAUUUUUAUUUGAUAAAGUUGGGAUCGCAUUCCGGGACUGUAUGAUAUAUGGAAACAAGUGGUGUGCAUGAAAUAUGGCUUCAGGGUGGAUCAGCUUGAAAGACAAUCUCAACACAUGCUAGCUUGAAAGAUAAUAUCAACACAUGGCAGCUUAAAAGAUAAUUUCAAUACAUGUUGCCAGGUCUUGACAUCACUAUGGAGGUUGCCACUGUAUCUGAAAAGAAAUGGGGAUCAUGUAAUGGAAAUAGAAUGUUGAAGAUUAAUAUUAAUCCCUAUGGUCACCAUGAGAAAUUCUUAAUCGCACUGCGUGGGCUCCUUACAAGCAUAAAUUAAUCAUAACUUUACGGUACAUAUGGAUAUGUACAUCUCAAAUCACUUAUAUCUCCAAAACAGAACCGAGUUUGUAAAACUCCAAGUCCUGAAUAAGUUUUUACAACUAGAAUUUCAUUAAGCUGUACAUAUUUACGUAUUACAACACCAACAGAUAUUGGCUUGCAUAAUCAAAAUCACCUUCAAGUCAUGAUCUAUACAGGACAUUUUUCAGGUUAUUAUUGUAAUCAUACAUAAAGCACUGGCGAGUUGACAUGCAGCAUAUUUCAGCCUUUCAGGGUGGAGGCUGCACUUUAGGAAGGCACUACAGUCUUUUACAAAUCAAAAGAAUGGGAAGGCGGAAAAAAUGAACUAAUAUGACCACAAUGGUUAGAGAGGGAAACCAGGAAUAUAAAGGAGAAUUAGAGGAACCAACUAAACUAGCACCAAAAUAGAGGAAAACCAGAAGGCACAUGAAAACGACAAGAAACCAACAAAGGCAUAACAAGCAAAAAGGGAUCAAUAUGCAGAGGGACUAAAAUAAGACGAAACUAAUCAAAACCAAACAGAAUCAGGGAACAAAUCCGUCAACACAAAUGAGUUUAGUAAUAGAUCCAUCAACACAAAUCCGUCAACCAGUAGCAAAGCAACAGAUGACCUCACCAAGAAAACUGAUGAACUAAAGAAGAGAACCGGAAGCAAUGAAGGAAAGGCCAGUGAGCAGACAACCAUUAACGCAACACCAUGCACCCCCUCUAUUAUAAGGCGCAAAUCCAAAGCUAGUGUGACCAGAAGCAACGUCAAGCGUGCACUGGUGAGCGCCCAGCUCCUCGCAAAGGCCAGCAAUCCAGGGUCCCAAUCUGACAGAAAUUCAGCAGAGAAACAUGGCACACGAGAACGCACGAUAGAGCGGGUGAAUCAGAGGGGAAGGUUUUUCCUUCGAGAAGCGGCCAAUUUGGCGUCACUUCCACAAUCUCUGUUCAAAACAGGUGGUGAAAGAGCUCCCAAGAUCAUGGACUAGACAGAACGCACUUGCACACUGAAUAGGGAGAACGCAGGAGCAGAGGCAUUAAAAAACCUCAUACAUAUGGAAAAUAGCAAAGCUGUAUCCCCAACCAAUAGUUCAACACUGUCAGUAAACAACAAUGACAAAGGUCAAUUGCAGGUUAUUUAUACCCGUGUCCCUGUGUGGUUGUCCAGAGGGUGGCUUUAUUUGUACGAGUCAACAAGGGACAGAUUGUAUCAUGCAAUAAAAAAUGUUUGGAGUAUAAUUUUGUGGGUCAAACAUGGCUAGCUGUGUAGAUGACUUAUCUGAUAAUCGUUAAGAAUAUUGUCUCCGACAAGAAAAUGGACAUAGUGUCAAUGGGACAGUAGUAGUAAGGUACACAACUAGACUGCAUAUAUUUAUGUUAAGAUUAAAAAAAAUGCUUUCAGCAUAGAUUAAAGGUAUUUCAGGAAAGGAAAUAGCUCAAUCACAAAACACCUAGGCCAGACCAUUGGCUACUUGGCAAUGGGUAGGUUUCUGAUAAGCAGCCAUUCAAAGCAUGAACAACAGAAAAAAGCAUCAUCUCACGUAAUGUCAACAAUAAACCAAGAUGGAUAUCAGUAUAUCAUCUUCAAACCCAUUAACAAAACUGCAAUAGCUAGAAACUAUAUAAUUCGUUAAAGUAUGUCCAGCUCCAUCUAUACUAGUCAGACAACCAACAGUCAUUUGGUUGUCUCUCUCUAGAAGGAAGAUAGAAAUAUCAUGAUUGCAAGGUUGCCCCAUUGUUAUGGUUAGGGACAUUUGUUGACCCAUCAAUAGCACAGGUCUCCAUACUCUGUACUUGAAGAUUUGAAGGUACCUGUAUAGAAUAAAAAAUGCAAAAAUGAUCAAUUAAUAUGAAGAGUCCUUAAAAUGGCAAAUUAUAAAGGAAAGACAAAAUAUGGAUAAUUCCCAUCAAUGAACAACACUUUUCACUUGAACCAAUUUGUAAUUUAUUUGAAUAGCUCAACCUGAUGCAUACUUUGCUCAGUCACUUAUUUAAUUCAUUAAAUAUUGGCAGUCUCUAUCUCCAGAUACACACACACAUAAAUAUGUCGUGAUUAGUUUUCCACUACUGGAAAUAUGAGUAUUCAUCCUCAACCUUAGUACUGGUUGUUUUUGACCGGGUACUAAUGUUAUCAUUACUACCGGGUCCAAAAUUGGCAGUUCCCGGAUAUAACACCACCCGGUACUAAAGGGUCACUUUUAGUACCCAGUGGUGUUAUGAUCCAGUACUAAAGGUUUUUCCAUGGGUUACAUCAAAGGAAAGUGUAUCUACAUCCAUCGCAUGUGUUGUGCAUGUGGAGUGGUAAGGAAGGAUCGCGCGAGGCCGAAGGUCAUGGUUUCGAAGCCCACGGACCCGGCACACGCAUAUUACGCGUGAAAAUAGCACAGCAGAUUUUUUUCUUUAUUUUUUGGGUGAAAAAACGGAUUAGUACCGGUUGGUCUCCCCAACCGCUACUAAUGCAUACCCUUUGGUACCGGUUAUUUGACCCUUUGGAUAUAGCAGUACAGGUUGUACAACCGGUACUAAAGAGAGGUUUGGAACCAGUACUGAUGGCAGUUUUCCUAGCAGUGUUCUCUAACCGAUUUUUAUUUCCUCCAAUUAAUUUGUAGUAUUUGCACAUAAACACAUAUUGUAGAAAUAGAAGAAGCAUAAGUUUCAGUAGUUUAACUCACAUCAAGGUCCAGAAGCUCUAUUUAUUGGUUCGAUAUUUACUUGCUUGAGUGGUAUGCCAUAAGUACUCAGGAUGCCCAAAACCUGUUGAAGCCUCCUGUCAACUUCUUCACAUUUGAUCUCAACUACCUUAAGAUGGCUGCACACAAAUGGUUUUUCCAACGGCUCAUAAAUUCUUUCUGUUUCCACUUGGUCUUUUGGUAACUAUAAACAUUACAAAUAUUUUGCAAGUAAUUUAUCGGUAAUGGAUGGUAAUUGAUAUUCAAUACCACAUUUCACUUAUCUAAAAAAAAUAUAAGUACCUUAGAAAGCUGGAAGGUUAGCUUCUCAAUAAUAGGUGAAUGACUGAGGAAGCAAGUUAAUAUAUUGAGAUCAACAGCAACACCAGGACAGGAUUGGCUGAGUAACAAUGUCUUUAACUUGCCAAAUGUAGGGAAAAUAAUUUUAAAUCCCUGUUGACAAUAAACGGGGCAAGGUGUAAAGGAGUAAGAUCUAACAAGUCAUAAGUGACGUACAAAAUAUUUGUAAUGCAUGAUGUGGUCAUACCAUAGAGAACACAUUGUUUUGGUGCAAGAUGCGAUACUAUUUAGACGGAACUAAUGCAAGACGUUUAAUAUCCGUAUUUAUAUUAUAGAUUCACCAUGCAAAAGUAUAUCCAUAUACUUCCCAUAUCAAGUAAGCCAUAUACAGAAGUUUGAGUCACACUAAUUACUGCAUGUCAAUUCGUUCUUAGCUAUGUAAUUCCAUUGAUUUAGGAAUUAAAAGGGUCUUACAGCCUGCACGAAACAAAUGUCAAACAAAGACUCAAAAUCUCGUGCUAAAGAGCGUGGAGGUUCGAGUCCUCUUCAAGGCAUGAUAUGGAGAAUAGUGAUGAAUGGAAUUCACUAAAAAGGAAAACAUACCACAUCCGAAACAGCUGAGAGCUCCAACUCUGAAACUUGUGAUAAACCUUUCAAAAGUAUGACCUCACCGUGCCAGUCAUCGCCAGAAUAAUAACAACCAAAAUAAUUACGAGAAUCGUAAGCCCCGUAGUUAUCGUCACAAUCUGCAUAAGUAUUCUUACAACAAAUGUCAUGAGAGUACACCGUCAAUCUCACAACCGCUGAAACUAAAAAGGCAUGUUUUCAAGCAAGGGAGUUCUACCACCACAAUCACUUAACACAAGGGAGACAAGUCUAGCACUGGUAGAGAAUUGGCCUUUAGUCCCGGUUGGUAGGGUGCAUAUCUCUCGAAAAUCCAUCUGGGAUAAACCAACCGGGACAAAAGGGGGGUCUUUAGUCCCGGGUCUUUUAACCGGGAGUAAAGGUCCCCCUUUAGUCCCGGUUGGUGUCACCAACCGGGACUAAAGGGCCUGCCACGCCAGGCGCGGGACAGGCCCUUUAGUCCCGGUUUGUGACACCAACCGGGACUAAAGGGGACCCCUUUAGUCCCGGUUGGAUUUCCCAACCGGGACUAAAGGGUUACUAAAUGGCGCUUGCAUGGCACUGCCGUGACGCCUGAAUUUUUCAUGCAUGCAUCACGUAUACGUAGUACCGCGACCCUUUUAAUUUGUUAACCUUUAGUAGUUGAGAUUUUUUUAGAACGAAAUCAACUAGUAUUUAAACGAAUGGGAUUUGUAAUUAUACAGUUACUAUAUAUAUACACAAUCCUUAUACACAAUUCAUAUACACAAUUCAACUAGCUUAGUACAAAUCGAUCAUAAUUAGUGCGUAUUAUAUAUACAAAUAAAUCAAAGUAUCUUCCUACAAUCUUCCCGUCGUGGUGUUGCUGAUCGGAGUGUCUAAUUGUCAUCCAUCGUAAUAAAAUUCUCCUUUUGGAUUUACCACCUCAUCCAUUAUGAAUCCAAUGAGACCUUCACAUAUUGCCGCUACUCUUUCUUCCUUCAAGAGUCCUUGUUGAAUAUUUAACAUCUAUAAUUUGGAAAUUUGUGAAUGUUACAUGAACAAAUACAUAUAAGGAGCUAGAAAAUAAUUAACUAGUAAUAGUUUUAUUUUACGUACUUUAAAGUUGUGCGGCGUCAUCUUCGGUCCCUUGGGUCCCAUAAAACUGUGCAUGUGCUCACAGAUGUAGUAGCCACAUAGAUUAUUCCCGGGUUCCUGUCUUAAGCACUUCAGUGCGGAAAAAAAUAAGUUAUGAAAUAUUCGUGUUAUACAAUGUAAUAAAUGUGCAGACUGCAUACGUACCGGGAAGUCUGUGUUCCAUGUAAGUUUUUCUUUGAAUGGACCUUUGUGUGUCCUAAUGAAUUGUUUCCAUGCGCUGCGGAUUAGAAUAAUGAAUGAUAUAGUGUAGCAGGGAUAAAAUUUAGGAAAUAAAUUUUUGCAUAGAGAUAAAGGUCCAGAAUUAUUACAAGCCUAGCAUGUCUUGCAAUUCUUGGUAGUCCACCGGAUCUUUCCUUAACGAAUCGAAGACAGUGACGUGGCUUCUUUCAGGCUCAAUUAUAAUAAGGAUCCAGUGGAAGCUGCGUGCGUAAAAUGUUCAUGCAUAUUAAAGCUAACUAACAUGUAGAGAUAAGGAAAAAGACAUCGAAAGUAGACGGUAUACACACACUUACUUGAAGUUGUAUGGAAGUAGUAUGAAAUCCUUGAAUGUUUGUUUGUCUAGGAAAUUGUAUAUUUCCGCAAAGGUUUUUUCCGGCGCUAAUUGUAUCUGUUGUUGGUUAACUACAGAUGGAUCCAUGAAGCCUAUAUGUAGGUACGCCUCUCGGCGGCAUGUCUGAAUUAGCAUCCUACAUGAAAUGGAAGAUGAAGUUAGUACGGUGACGCACGCCAAAAUUUACAUGUAGAGAUAAACGGACACUUACAGAAUCCAAGCGCUGAUCAGAGAGACGUCCAGGGCAUCAUGAUGGUACACUUCGUAUAUAUCCUUGAAGUCUAGCCACAGCACUUUCUCCCCUUCACCGUGAAAAUCUAUCGGUUUUACCUUCAUGCCGAUCAUCUCCCUCGAGUCGGCGGAUGCCAUCAUGUACCAUUGAUGGAAUGCGUACAUCUUUGUUGAUAGCUUCCGUACCAAUGAAGGCUUUACUAGAGGUUUGCCUAGCUCAUAAAGCCACUUCGGCUCAGGGGGCGGUGCAGUUGGCGUCUCAACUUGCCGUAUGCAUUCAUCAAGUCCCAGACCUGUUUCUUCCAUGAACUUCAAUACAUUUGCUUGUUGAUCCAAGGGCAUUGCUUUUACCCGUUGAGCAUCUUUUUUUGAUAAAUGGCUGAGGUCGGGGACUGGACCGCUGGAAGAUGACUUUCCUUUCCUUUUAUCCUUUUCAUCAACCUUUACUAGAGCCCGUUCAUAGUUUGACAAGAGUGGUAUCCUUUUCUUGGCUCCUUCUUCCAUCCUGAUAAAAAAGUUUAAAUCUCGCCGACUUACUGGCGGUGGCUCCAUCUCCCUUGCCUUUUUUUCUUCGGCUUGUUUCUUGAACCACUCACUAGCCUCUCGUUGGAUUUCUGCCCACUGUUCUGCAUGAGACAUUGCCUCAAAGCGUUCCUUACGAGUCACUUCAGGCUCCUUUGUUUUCUUCUUUCUCUGUCUUUUCUUGGGAGGCGGUGCUCGUGACUUCUUUAGUGGUGGUGCAGGUUCCUUCAAGGGGGCCGCUCUUAGUGCCGGCGACGGUGAUCGGGGAGGGGUGUUGUUAUUGUCGUCGUCGCUCCCAGCACCAGGAUGUGGUGGAGAUGGAGACCUUGAUAUAGAUGGAAGGGACGGUCCUGGAGCAGGAGAUGCCGGUCUCGAGGUAUGAGGAGAAGGUCGCUGCUGGGGAUCUACGGGGAGCGGUCUUGAGGUCUGAGAAGAUGGCUCCGUGCCGGGAAUAAUGAUGUAGCAUUUCUUCCAUAGAAUGAUCCCAUGAAGCGCAUCUGCCAAUGUCUUUUCCCCGUCGCCUCCCAGGAAGUCGAGCUCUAGACCUUCAUACUGGGGAUCAACUAUUUGCUCUACGCAGACGCUGGCGUAGCCUGUUGGAAUUUCCAUGCCAUGACUGCUCUGCCCUGCCAGGGUAGCUAAUGCACUCCCGUACGCUACCUGUACAUAUAGCAGAAGUAAACAAGUUGAACUCCGAUCUUGAGGCCUGGAUCAAUUGACAAGAUUGCAUAAAUAUUAUGUAUAAGUAUACCUUAAUAGUGAGGUUGCCGACCGGUGCAUGCAGCUCACAUGAGGUCCGUUGCGUGAUGGCAUCCACGGGGAGCCGUUGCUCCUCCACGGGUAACCUGGGCGUCUGCGCAUCGGGGACCCCUGUAGAAGCACAACUGCUCAAGAGGCGUUGAGAAGGGCUGGCGGUGUUAGGAUUCGGCAAUGCUCCAGAUUGGGCCAACUCCGCAACUGCGUGGGCCACCCGCCGAUUGAUUUCAUCCAUCAUUCUUUGUUCUAGCAUCUGCCGCCAGCUCUCCUCGAUCUGUUCCUUUCUUCGCUUCCGGCUUCUGUACGAGGCGCUGUCGCCUCGGAAAGCAAACUUCCAUGGAACCACCCCGAACCCUCGGCAACGUCCUGGGUGCUCUGGAUUACCGAGGGCAAAUGUGAGCCCAUCAUUUUCUCGGUCCACCUUCAACCUCCCAGCCUUAGAAUCUUCAAUGUUCUUCAUGAGAUGUUCGGCCUUCUCACGUAUUGUGUCAUUAAAAAUCAACGUCCCAUCCUCUUGGCUUAGGGAGCCUCCAUGAGCGUAGUACCAAUUUUUUGAUCGUUCGGGCCAUUCAAUAGUUGCAGGUACGAUUCCCCGUUCGAUCAGAUCUUGUUCCAUCUUCCUCCACUUGGGAAUUGCUGAGCCAUACCCACCUCGCCCCAAAUGAUGGUGGUAGCCCUUCUGACUAGCAUUUGCUGUGUUGGUCGUGAUCUUUUUCACACCUUCUUCACUCCUCUUAUAUUCAACAAAUGCAUCCCAGUGGUCCCUCAACUUUGGCCACGCGUUGAAGUCUGGAGUUUUGCCCUUCUUGAUGUAGUGGGUAUCCAGCAUCUCAUUGAAUGUCUGGAAUUGAGUAGCCAUCUUCUUAAGCGUCCACGCUUUGACAUCCUUCUCACUAUAUCCUUCGGGGAAUGUGAAAUGUCUCUUCACGUCUUCCCACAGCAUAUUCUUUUCUGUCUCUGGAAGGGCGUACGGAUUAGUGCUUCUGCCCUUCCAUUCUCUGAUGCUGAUAGGCACGUUGUCCCAGACGAUUGCCCCGAUUUGACUCACGUACUUCUUUGCUACUUUCUCAGGAGCAACCGGCCUACCCUCUUCUGUCACUUCCGUGAUGACAAGCCUCCCUUCUAUCACCUUUGUACAACCUCGGGUCUUCUGCCCUUGUGUCAAUCCGGAGGGCUAACAGUUCAAGAUUCGUUAAUUAGUACGUAGUAGUAACGGUGGCGUGAAACAAUACAAGAAUGGUUGUAUAUACCUCGCCGGAACCUUCCGCCACGGCAAGUUGUUGCUGCGGCUGUUGCUCUUCAUUCCCAUCGGCGGACAUGUUGAGGAACAUGUCUGCCUGGGUGCCCUCUUCAUCCGUGUAUGAUAGUGGAACGUUGUCGCCACUACCAUCACCAGCGAUUAUCUGCUCCAUGAUAUACCUUGCGGUCUCAUCGUCUGCCAUUUCAACUAUUGAUGGAAACAUACAUGGAAUCAUACAUGACAGUCAUAGAAAUCGUCUUACUACAAAUUUCUACAAAGUCCUACAAAGUCCGGAAUCAUACAUGUAUAUAAUGAAAUCAUAAAAUAACAUGAAUCGUACAAAGUCCGGAAUAUUUAUACAAAUUUCUACGAAUUUCUACGAAUUUUGACGAAUUUCUAUGAAUUUCUACAAAUUUCUACGAAUUUCUACGAAUUUUGACGAAUUUCUACGAAUUUCUACAAAUUUCUACGAAUUUCUAACAAUAUCCACGUGCGGUGCCUAGGUUGUGACGGCGGCAAUCAGGGCGGCGGAGGCGGGACGGCGGCGGUCAGGGCGGCGGUACGGCGGAGGCGGGGACGGUUCACCGGAACCACGGGCGGUGCCUACUAGGUUGUGACGGGCGGCGGGACGGCGGCGAUCACGGCGGCGGGACGGCGGAGGGGACGGCGGUGCAUCCUACGAAUUUCUAACUUCAUUUUCUAACUUAAAAAUCUAACUUAACAAACUAACUAAAAAAUCUAACUUACAAAUAUAACUUAAUUUUCUAGCUUAACAAUCAAAAUUAAAAAUCUAUCAUAAAAAUAUAACUUAAUUUUCUAACUUAAAAAAAAACCCUCCUGGCGCUGCCGGCCGGCACGGCAGCGGACCUCUCGCGCGCGGGGCGGCGGCCGGGCGGCGGCGGCCGGUGCGGCGAGGACGGCAGCGGCCGAGGCGACGACGACGAUGGCGGCGUAGGCAGGACGGCGACGAGACGGCGACGAGGGGCGACGAGGGGCGACGAGGAUGGAGCCGGCGACGAGGAUGGAGCCGGUGGCCGGAGGCGACGAGGUGGCCGGGGGCCGGGCGCGUCGACGGACGAGGAGGGGAUCAAGGCGGGCCGGCCGGGGGACGACGACGGCGCAAUGGGGGACGUCGACGGCGCAAUGGGGGACGACGACGGCGGCGGCCGGCGAGGGAGGCGGACGGGCGGCGACGCCGGAGAACGCGCGGGACUUGGCGAAAAUUUGGCUAAGUGUAACUGGCGGGGGGUAGAAGGGAGUACAGUGCCUUUUAAAGCCCCCUUUUAUCCCGGUUCGUAGUGGCACCCGGGACAAAAGGGCCUUUUGUCCCGGGUCCCAUCACCAACCGGGAUAAAAGGCCCCCCCCUUUUAUCCCGGUUGGUGACGGGACCCGGGACAAAAGGGUGCCCCCGCCAGGUGGGGCUGGGAGCGUACCCUUUUAUCUCGGGUGCCACCACCAACCGGGAUAAAAGGGGGGCGCCUUUUAUCCCGGUUGCAGUUCGCAACCGGGAUAAAAGGGUACGUCGGGGCGGGAGACGAAAAGUACCCUUUUAUCCCGGUUGCAGUUUGAAACCGGGAUAAAAGGGGGGCCUUUUGUCCCGGUUGCUGUUGGCACCCGAGACAAAAGGUCCUUUUCCCAGUUUUCUUCUCCCGCCUGUUUUUGUGAAAUGGAUUUUAUUUAUCUUUUCAUUGCAAUUCAGGAUGAAAAACAAAAACCUUCACAUAUUUUGUACAUGCAAAAAUAUAUUUAAUUAACGAGUAAAUUGACAAUAAGUGUGAGUUAGUCAUUAAUUCUAUACCAGUUCAUUUAGCCUCUAAAAUAUUUAUUUUACUGCAUUGCUGUGAUCAAGAAAUUAUUCAAUUAAAUAAUUUCAAUGCGCAGAAAAAUCCAUGUUUGUUUGUGGUUAACAUUGUUCAUGUUUAUACAUAAAAUCUUCACCUAACAAAUUUAAGAAGACAUGAAAUCAUACAUAGGGUAAAUUACAAAUUGUAUCAAUUAAUACACAAAGGUCAUGUACAUUUAACGCAUUACAAUACAACGUUGUAAAAUUUCUUCUUCACGAAAGUUCCUUGAUCAUGAUCGCAGCGUAAGUACGGAGCCUCUUCUUUGGAUAGCAGGAUGCUUGGAUCAACUUCAACGACGAAUGGAGGUAUGCCAUCAAACUGAUCAUAAUCAUCUGAUUGGUCUGUUUUAUCCUCGACUCCCACGAUUUUUCUUUUACCUGGAAGAACUAUGUGGCACUUUGGCUCCCAUGUCUCUUCUGGAUUCCUCUUGGGUUUGCUGCACAUGUCCUUCACAUAGAACACCUGAUGCACAUCAUUGGCAAGUACGAAUGGGUCAUCACUGUAUCCAGUCUUGCUCAGAUCUACUAUUGUCAUUCCGUACUGAUCUUUGGUGACGGCAGUUAGCUUCACCCAAUUGCAAAGAAAUAGAGGGAUGUACAGCGGUCCGUAUUCGAGUUCCCAUAUCUCCUGUAUGAAACCAUAAUACGACUCCUUGCUAUUAUUUCUGUUCAUGGCAUCUAUGCGGACACCACUAUUCUGGUUCGUGCUUUUCUGGUCCUGGGCUCUCGUGUAAAAUGUGUAACCAUUUAUCUCAUAGCCUUGAAAUUUGACGAUUGUGCUAGCAGGUCCCCUGGCUAACCAGGCAAGCUGUGGGUGAAUCUCAGAGUUACCCAUAAGUUGUUGGCGCAACUAGGAGGGAAAAGUUUCCAUGUGAUGACGGGUAAGCCAAGCAUCGGAUUUGGUCGGGUUUUUGGAAGCUACCAUCUGCCUGUGCUGCUCGAUAUACGAAGACACAAAGGAUGACUGUUGUAGAACAGUGUAGUGUGCCUUGUCGAACAAAUCAGUAUCAUUGCUCAAACUUGAUUUCCUUCCAAGGGUGCCCAUUCCUCGGAGCCUCCCCUUGUGGCGUGAAGUUGGAACCCCAAUCGAGUCAAUUGAAUCAAUAAAAUCAACACAAAACUCGAUCACCUCCUCUGUUCCAUAUCCCUUGGUGAUGCUUCCUUCUGGACGGGCACGAUUAAGAACAUAGUUUUUUAGGACUGCCAUGAACCUCUCGAAAGGCCACAUAUUGUGCAGGUAUACAGGUCCGAGAAUACCAAUCUCUUUUACUAGGUGAACCAGUAAGUGCGUCAUAAUAUUGAAGAAGGAUGGUGGAAAUAACAACUCAAAACUGACAAGACAUUGCACCACAUCGUUCUGUAGCUUUGAUAGCUUGGAUGGAUCGAUUGCCUUCUGCGAAAUCGCAUUGAGAAACGCGCAUAGCUUUACGAGCGGCAACCGAACAUUUUCUGGUAGAACACCCCUCAUUGCAACCGGAAGCAACUGGGUCAUCAACAUGUGGCAGUCAUGAGCCUUGAGAUUUGUAAACUUCUUUUGUUUCAUAUUUAUUAUUCCCUUUAUAUUUGAGGAGUACCCAGACGGGACCUUCAUACUAUUCAAGCAUUCAAACAUGCUAUCCUUCUCUUCCUUGCUGAGAGUGUAACUGGCAGGACGUAAGUAGUGCUGUCCAUUAUCUCUCUUUUCCGGAUGUAGGUCAUCUCGUUGCCCCAUGGCUUUCAGGUCCUGUCGUGCUUCCAAUGUAUCUUUUGAGGUUCCAUAAACACCCAUGAAGCCUAGCACGUUCACGCAAAGAUUCUUCGUCAGGUGCAUCACGUCUAUUGCGUUGCGAACCUCUAGGAUUUCCCAAUAAGGUAGCUCCCAAAAUAUUGAUUUUUUCUUCCACAUGGGUGCAUGUCCGUUAUCGUCGUUCGGAACAGGUUGGCUACCAAGUCCCUUUCCAAAGACUACAUUUACAUCCUUCAUCAUCUCGAACACACACUUUCCAUUACGGUGUGCAGGUUUUUUACGAUGGUCUGGCACCCCUUUGAAAUGCAUCCCGCUCUUUCUGAGCUGGUGGUGAGCAGGGAGAAAUCGACGAUGACCCAUAUAGAUGACCUUCUUACAGUGCUUCAAGUACAUGCUGUCUGUGUCGUCUAAACAGUGGGUGCAUGCCCGAUAUCCCUUAUUUGUCUGUCCUGAAAGGUUACUCAAUGUAGGCCAAUCGUUGAUGGUUACGAACAACAGUGCUCGUAGAUUAAAGAUCUCUUGUCUAUCCUCAUCCCACACACGUACACCUUCUUCCUUCCAGAGCUGUAAAAGGUCAUCAACCAACGGCCUUAGGUACACAUCAAUGUCGUUGCCGGGUUGUUUUGGGCCUUGGAUAAGCGCCGGCAUCAUAAUGAACUUCCGCUUCAUGCACAGCCAAGGAGGAAGGUUGAACAUACAAAGGGUCACAGGCCAAGUACUAUGGCCACUACUCAACUCACCGAAUGGAUUGAAUCCAUCCGUGCUUAAACCAAACCUUAUGUUCCUUGCUUCACUUUCAAAGUCUGGGAAUGUUCUAUCAAUUGAUCUCCACUGUGCCCCAUCUGCGGGGUGUCUCAGCAUCUCAUCUUCCUUACGGUCUUAUUUGUGCCAUCGCAUCAACUUAGCAUUCGCCUUGUUCCUGAACAAGCGCUUCAAGCGUGGUAUUAUAGGGAAAUACCACAUCACCUUCACGGGAACUCUCUUCUUGGGAGACUGCCCCUCGACAUCACCAGGAUCAUCUCGCCUGAUCUUAUACCGCAGGGCUUUGUAGACGGGACAAGCAUCCAAUUUCUCGUAUUCAUCACCACGAUAGAGGAUACAGUCAUUAGGGCAUGCGUGUAUCUUCUGAACAUCCAAUCCGAGAGGGCAAAUAAUCUGUUUAGCUUCAUAUGUUGUGGACGGUAAUUCAUUAUUCUCGGGAAGAAUCUUCUUGACAAUGGUCAACAUCCCCUGAAAUGCCUUAUCGGACACACCAUUUUUUGCCUUCCAUUGCACAAAUUCUAGUGUCGUACCUAGUUUUUUAUGGCCCUGCUGGCAACCUGGGUACAACAAUUUUUGGUGAUCAUCUAUCAUGCGCUGCAACUUUGCUGCUUCCUUCUCAGUUUCGCAAUCUCUGUAUGCAUCUCGUAUCACCUGACCAAGGUCAUCAGUAGGGCCAUUUUCUGCAAACUCAUCUUCAUCAGCCUCGCCCAUUGUAGUACCUGCAAAAGCUUGGCCUGCAACCCAGUCCGAAAUGGUGUCAUCUUCCUCCUCCUCCUCGCCAUCUUCCAUUACAACCCCUAGUUCACCGUGCUUGGUCCAAACCAAAUAGUUAGGCAUGAAACCGUAUUUAAACAAGUGGAUGUGAAUAGUCCCCCAGGAAUCCUUUGAAUACUCCUUCCUGUUAUUGCAUUGGAAGCAUGGACAACAUACGAACCCAUUCUCUGGCUUGUUCGCUUUUGCCACUUCGAGAAAAUAAUGCAAGCCAUCAAUAAACGCCUUGCUCCACCUGUCUGCAUUAUACAUCCAUUGCCGGUCCAUCUGCAUCGUAUUACGCAUGAAAAUGGAUUACACUUGACAAUGGAUUACGCGUGAAAAUCGAUUAAAGAUCCAAACAACAUGGUACAAUACAACAACAUGAAGAUCCAAAUACACAUAUUUAAAUUAAAGUCCCAAACAACAUGAUACAAUACAACAAGCCAUCCACGGGUUAUUAUCAAGGAGGACUUUAAGCAUCCUUGGACGGUGAAGACGAAGGUUCCGCUGACCCAACCUCAUCCUUAGGUUUAUUUGUGCCGCCUGAAACGGUAAUACUAAGUGGACGUGAAACACCCGGGACUGAGGGUGGAGCAUAACGACCACCAAAAGGAGGUUCCUGACCCACGGCAACAGCUUCUUCAUGACGUUGCUGCAAAUAACGAAGCAUUGCUUUUUCCAGCGCGCUCUUUUUCUUCAGCUUAUGCUGAGGGCCAACUAUGAUUGGAACCUUGCCAUAAUAGGAACCACGAUCGCCCCCACCAUCGCCACUUCCUCCAGUAGCAGAAGCCAUCUAUGUACAAAAAUUAUUAUCUUAACACUGCAUAAGUUGUUCAACUUGAAGAUCGUGAUCAUCUCGCGAGGAUGUCCUCAACUGGACGGCACCGCACUUCGUCAUGAAAGAGGUUAGAUGCUACGGAAAAGGGGACACGGUCACGAUGUCCGUAUCCACUCUUUCUCGUAGAAUCGAACCUCCUUCUUGACAUACGUUGCUGCUCGGCGGAAAACAUCCUCGGAGAGAUGAACACGGUAUGCAAGUUCAACAAGUAGCAGAAGUCAUCUAUGUACAAAAAUUCUUUCAUUACCACUACAGAAGUUGUUGAACUUGAAGACCGUGAUCAUUUCGCGAGGAUGUCCUCAGCUGGGUGGCACCGCACUUCGUCAUGAAAGAGGUUAGAUGCUACGGAAAAGGGGACACGGUCACGAUGUCCGUAUCCACUCUUUCUCGUAGAAUCGAACCUCCUUCUUGACAUACGUUGCUGCUCGGCGGAGAACAUCGUAGCAGAAAUGAACACGGUAUGCAAGUUCAACAAGUAUGGAUUUAAAAAACCAUAUUGAAUUUGAUAAGAUAAACCGUCUAGACAAGGUAGCAUCAUUUUUAAACCACUGCAAUAAUGCAUACUAUAUAUGACACAUCAAUCUCCCUCACAUUCUAGCUCAAAAUACCUCUCCAUUUUUCUACUUCAUCAUCACAUUCUAGCAAAUAAUCUUUCCAUCUCCAAAGCAUAAAUCAAAGCAUGACACGAGGAUGAAGUAGCAAACCUUCGCAACACUUGUGUUGGCCAAGUGAAAUUCCCACGAAAAUGAGGGAAAAAACUUCGGGCAGCACCUUCCUUGCUUGCUUCGGCACCACUGGAGAGUAGGUGAAGCUCAGCUCUCUCUGUCAAUGUGCUGGACUGGCUCGGGCUGGAGGAGGAAGAAAGUCCUCUGUCUUGGCCGUAUAUAAUGGGGAUGAGUUUUUAUCCCGGUUAAAAACUCCAACCGAGACAAAAAGGAACACCUUUUGUCCCGGUUGGAAGUUUAAUCCCGGUUGGAGGAUCCAACCGGGAUAAAAGGGUCCCGCCACCGACGCCCCCCAGCUAGCCGUUGCAACCGGGACUAAAGGGGGGCCUUUAGUCCCGGUUGUAAUUACCAACCGGGAGUAAAUCUCUCCUCCAAUUUUGCCUACCGUGGCGCACCCCUUUUUUGUCCUGGGCCAACUUUAAACCGGGACAAAAGGGGGCGGAUCGAAAGCCAAUUCUCUACUAGUGUAGGCGAAGAAACCCGCACACAAUAGAACAUUGGAAAGUCACAGCGGACAAUGCUGAGAUGUUUUGAGUAUGGGGCUGAAAUAUCCCCAUAAAGUUCACCAUGCCUAUCCAUCUUGAGCUGAACUAGCGCUGGACAGCCUGAAACAUCGAGAGUGCUGCUCCGUAGAGUGACACGUCGCCCCCACACAAACCGCUGAAUUUUCAGAUUAGUGCCUUAAUAACAAAACAUUUCCGUAAUCGCUGCGAACAUGCCUAGUUCUUUCCUCCUGAACUUUCACAAACCAUGAUUUCUGUUCAGAAACAGGCAUCGUAAAAGGGUAACUGAAAUAUGGGAAUCUCACAGAAUUAAGCUUUGAACACGACUAGCUGCAGUGGUGCACUAAUCUUGCAAAUUGAUCAAGAUGAGUCGCUAAACCAGAUCCAGCUGCAUCUAAACAUAUCAUACUUCCAACUUUUAUGUUCAUUAUAGCGAGUGAUUUCGCCAGACAGAAGAUAGGACUUAGGACAGAAUUGUCACGGCUGCAAACUUGCUCCAUACUGAGAUGCCGGUGGGCUAGUACCUUGGUGAUGAGCGAUUGACAACACGGUGUGCGUGUGACGUGUCUCUUGGCAGGUGUAGUUGCAGGUGACAGGUGGAGACGAGGUGCAUGCGGCGACGAGUGAAGAAUGGGGAUAGGAUGCCAUGCCGACGAACCGUGGGACGGUGAAGGGUGGAUCAAGGCUUGCGUUCGAGGGACAGGCGAUCGUGCGGUGUACGUCUACUGUACCUGGCUACACGGCGAGAGGACGUCAAGGGAGGUUUUCGGAUUACACCACAAAAUCCGGGGUUCGCUGGUUGAGCCAUAAAGCCAUGCAUCGUACCGGGACGCUCGUGCGGCGAGCGUUGGCCGAAGAUGGAAAUUCCGGCGAUCGCGAUACGAUUUCGGAUGGUCAUGCGGCGACAUCGCGAGGAUCACAUCACGGAGAUGGAGGAAUCGCGGACAUCGCGGAAUUUGUCAUGGAGGACGUAACUAGAAUUUACGCACCUACGUUAAAUUUAUUUAGCGUAGGGGGUUAUGUGUAAAUAGGCCGUGCCACCCUAAGGAUAUAAAUACGUAGCACCUAGGGUUGAGAGAGUAGGAGCCCUUUUGCUACAGGCGGCGCUACAGUACUCGGCGCUACAGUAACUCGGCGCUACAGUAACUCGCGAUUACUGUUCAUCGCGGUUACUGUUCACGCGCGGUACUGUUCAUCGUCGCAGGUACUGUUCAUCUCUCUCUAGUCUAGCCUAGGGUUUCAAUCUAAGUGAGGGAUUUUUAUUGAUCUCUCCAAUUAAGAGAGGGAGGAUGUUUGGGUGGAGGCUAGAUGCACUUUUGUAAGCACAUUACUUGUCUCAAUUUUUCAUAUUAGUGAAUUAAUCUAUGUGCUUGUGCGUCAUGUUGUGCUGAGGUUAAGAUUGAUUUGAUCCAUCUAAAAUCAUGCUAGGGCAUCUUAUUAGAGCUUAAUCUAUUCUCGUCAUUGUCUGAUACAGUCUGCUUGUUCCUUUAAUAUCUCAAGAUCCGAAAGUCCGAUUGACAUGAUUCCAGUUGGGUUAGUUGCAUAAUUUUGUAUAGAUUUUUCUGUCAAAUUUUUAGGUUGAUCGGUCUUACGGAUUUUCGUCCAUAUCCUUUUUAUUAAGGAAACAGUAUUCUGUCCAGAUUUGAAAAACGUGAUUUAAUUAGGUUUUGAGAGGAAGGAGAAGUGUUAAACUUUAUUUUUUGAACUUGCGCCCAUUCACCCCCCUCUCUGGUCGCCGUUUCGGUCCUUCAAUUGGUACCAGAGCCAGUUAAGGUUUUCUAUAUCUUAAUCGGUUACGAAAACCAUGGCGACCUCCGGAAAAUUCGAUACACGCGCUCCGCAUUUUGAUGGUACUGAUUAUGACUAUUGGCAGUCACGUAUGAAAGCUUAUUUGAAGGGGAAGGGGAUGAAUCUGUGGAGGAUCACACAAAACUCUACAUAUGUGAUUCCUGCAGAGGACCCUACUGAUCCUGCUGCUGUUGCUCUUCUUGAAGCAAAUAAUCGGGUUGUUGACAUUUUGCAAGCUUCUCUUUGUAAACCCGAGUAUGAUCGUAUUUCCAGUGAGGAGCUAGCUUUUCAGAUCUGGGAUAAAUUAAAGAAAUAUCAUGAAGGCUCCAACGCUAUAAAAACACGAAAAUUUGAAAUUUAUAGAAAAGAAUUUGAUGCUUUUUCUCAGUUGCCUGGUGAAUCUAUUGAAGAUCUUUUUGCAAGGUUUCAAGUGAUUGUAAACAAAAUGAAAGCCCUUAAUAAGGAUAUGCCUUACAAUGAUCAUGCAAGGGCUCUCAGAUUGUUGCAUUCACUUACUGAUGAGUGGGAUAUGAAGGUAGAGGCAAUCGUUGAGUCCGCUGGCUAUGAGACUCUUACCACUGACGAGCUUUUCAGUAAGCUUAAGUCAAAAGAGAUUGAUGUCCUCUCCAAGCGCAAAUUGAAAAAUCCCACUAGCGCUUCUUCUUCUGAUGUUCCUAUGGCUUUGGUUUCUAGGAGUAAAACUAACGCUAACACUAAUCCAGUUCCUCCAAGCUCUUCCUUGUCUUCUUUGUGUCAUGUUGCAGAUGAUGAGUUGGAGACGCUAGAUGAUGAUCAGUUGGUGCUGCUCUCCAACAAAUUCAAGCGAGUCUAUGAGAACCGACGCAACAGAAGACGCUCAGAAGGAUGUUUCAGCUAUGGUGAGCGAGGCCACUUUGCAGCUUAUUGCCCGAACAAGAGAACAUUUGAUCAGGGCAACAACUCCAGGCGCUAGGAACAACCAAGGGAGAAGAAUAAGAAGGGUGACAGGCGCAUGAAGAAGAAUGGCCAGAAGUACACUGAUAAGCAAAUUAAAAGGGCUGCACAUGUUUUGUUUUCUUCUCUUGGUGAUUUUGUUUCAGAUGCUUCUUCGAACUCAAGUGAUUCAGACUCCGAGAAUGAGCUGCCCAAAAAGAAAACUGACGGACUCUGCUUCCUCGCCGACAUCAAGGGAGGGAUGUGCACCAUGGCCUUAGAAGAUGAUGAAGCUUCUAAUCUCAGCGACAACUCUUCUGACAAUGAGGUACAAAAUUUAGCAGAAGAAGAAAUUAAAGAAUUGACAAAAAUUAUUGAUAAACAAAACAAGAUUUUAGCAAAACUUAAGGCUGAGUAUGAUAGAGUCAUCUCUGAAUUAAAAGACUUAAAAGAUGCUACUCCUGCUGAAGUAGAAUGUGAAGAGUGCUCUGUGCAUAUGGUUUCACUUUCUGAAUUGCAAUCUAAGCAUGCCUUCAUUGUUGACAAAUUUGAAAAUGCUAAGAUUGAGUUAGAAAAACUUCACUCUGGUUCGGCUUCACUUGGCGCUUGUGCUUCUUGUCCAACCUUGAAAUCUGAAUUGAAUAAUGCUAAAUCUCGUGUUAUUGAGUUGGAGAAACACUCUUGUCCUGCUUUGCCUUCCUGUUUAACUUGCCCUACUUUUGUUGCUGAAAAUAAUGAUUUGAGGGUGAAGUUUUCUGCUUUGGAAGAAGAAAAUAAACAUUUGAGAGUGAUUCUUGGUUGGUGCUCUAUUCGUGAACCUCAGAUUGGUAUGUCAAUUGCUCAAAUUAAACGGAGUGAGCGUUUUGGACCUGGAUAUGAUUUGAAACAUGUUUUUGGUGAAAAGAGUGGACCUCCUAUUUCUGAAAAGAAUCCACCUUUGGCUAAGUACACUGGACCACCUCCUAGGAAAGAGGGUCCAUGUGUCACAUCUGAGGGGUUGUUAGUUGAACCAUCCAGAUCUGUUCCAAAAAAGCAGGUUUGGGUGCCUAAACCUAAACACUUCAAUGUUGCACAGAACGCUAAGCCAUCUACUUCGCCAUGUGUUCACACUGCUAGACCUACGCAUAACUUUGUUGCUUCUGGUUCUAAGGCUAAGGCUUCUUUUGCUCCUUCACAUAAGCAUUACCAUUGUGAUUUUUGUGAUCGUGAUGGUCAUCUCUAUGGGUUUUGCUUCCGUCGGAAGCGUGCUGAGAGACGUGAGCAGUACUCUGCACGUGGUACUCAUGAUCGUCCUAUUUUGGGUCGUGAACCUGCUAGUUGGUCUUUUGGUUUUCGCCCACAUACUCGUGCUCCUGCCCCACGUCGGAAUGACAGGCCAUGUUUUCCCCCUCGUGGUUCUCGUCAUUCUUUCGAGAGGUUUGAUUUUGCUAAUGCCUCUUUUGAGCAAGUGGCCCAACACUGGUUUUCUCUGCAUUAUCCUAACCCCAGUGUUGAGUCAUUAGCUCACUCUUGUGUUCGCCAUGGACUGCAGGAUGGAGGCGAGGAGAACAUAUGGAUAAUGGAUUCCGGUUGUUCGCGCCACAUGACCGGAGAUGACAAAUGGUUCUCCACCCUCACCCCCGCGAGCGGUAAGGAAUAUAUUACAUUCGGGGAUAAUAGUAAAGGUAAGGUUUUGGCGCAUGGCUGCAUCAAGGUAACUGAUAAAUUCAUACUAAAGGAUGUCGCGAAAGUACAAAAUUUGCACUAUAAUCUGCUUUCUGUCUCACAACUUCUUGAAGAUGAUUUUGAAGUGCGUUUUAAGAAAGGCAAUUCGCGAGUUCUUGAUUCUACUGGCAACCUUGUUUGCAAGAUUUCUCCCUUUGGAUGAGUUUUUAAGGUUGAUUUUUCUAAAUCUUUUGGACAGACUCGUUGUUUGGUUGCUCGUGGUUUCCCUGAUAUUUGGAAGUGGCAUCGUCGGUUGGGCCACUUGAGCUUUGAUUUGCUUUGUCGCUUGAGUUCGAUGGAUUUAAUUGAUGGUUUGCCAAAACUCAAGUUUGAAAAAGAUUUAAUUUGUGCUCCUUGCAAACAUGGAAAAAUGGUUGCUGCUUCCCAUGCACCUGUGACGCAGGUGAUGACGAGAUGACCGGGUGAACUGUUACAUAUGGACAUUGUUGGUCCAGCCCGUGUUCGGUCUGCUGGUGGGAAGUGGUAUGUGCUCGUUGUUGUGGAUGAUUUUUCUCGAUACUCAUGGGUGUUCUUUCUGGAAUCUAAGGAUGACGCCUUUUCACAUGUUCAUGAUCUUGUUCUGAAGCUGAAAAAUGAGUUGUCAAAUAAUGCCGUUAGAGCAAUUCGCAGUGACAAUGGUACGGAAUUCAAGAACUCUCGUAUGAAAGCUUUUUGCGCAGAACAUGGUCUUGAUCAUCAAUUUUCUUCUCCUUAUGUUCCUCCUCAGAAUGGUGUUGUUGAAAGGAAAAAUCGCACGCUUGUUGAAAUGGCUAGGACAAUGCUAGAUGAACAUAAAACCCCUAGACGUUUCUGGGCUGAGGCAAUCAACACCGCUUGCUAUGUUGCUAAUAGAAUUUUUCUGAGAGCUUUCCUGAAGAAAACAUCAUAUGAGUUGAGAUUUGGACGUCCUCCCAAAGUUUCCCACUUUCGAGUGUUUGGUUGCAAGUGCUUUAUUCUAAAAAAGGGAAACUUGGAUAAGUUUGAGUCUCGUUCUUCUGAUGGGUUAUUUCUGGGGUAUGCUUUGCAAGGGCGUGCUUACCGUGUGCUUAAUAUUGACACUAACCGCAUCGAGGAGACAUGUGAGGUCACCUUCGACGAGAAAAUGCCUUGUUUUUCUUUUGCUUUUGAAUGUGCAGGUGAUAAUGAGAUCGGGCAGGAUAUUUUUGAGGAUGAGCAAGAGGAAGAUGGAUACAACAAUGACGACGACGAUGACGCCCCGCCUGUGAUGCAGGGGGAGCCUGGCGCGCAGCUCGAGUAGGCACCCUCCACCACUUUGGACGAUGGACCAUUGCCUACACGUACAUCUACAGCAGCGCCUGCAGCUUCACCGAUUUUUGAUCAGGUACCGGCUGCAAUUGAAGGAGAGGCGAUUUCAGAACGUACAGCACCACGCCACAUUCAGAAUCGCCACCCUCCUGAAAAAAUGAUAGGUAACUUGAAUGAGCGAACGACACGGAACAGAGGUAUGAAAAACAAAAAUUAUUGUGUUUUUGCUCAUACUGCUUUUGUUGCCUCUUUUAAACCCCGAGAUGUUGGACAUGCUUUAUCUGAUUCUAACUGGGUCAAUGCCAUGCAUGAGGAGUUAGAAAAUUUUGAACGAAAUCAAGUUUGGGUUUUGGUUGAUCCUCCUCCUUCUUGUAAACCAAUUGGGACUAAAUGGGUUUUUAAGAACAAACAAGGAGAAGAUGGUCAUGUUGUCAGGAACAAAGCCAGAUUAGUGGCUCAGGGGUUUUGUCAAAAGGAGGGUAUUGAUUAUGGUGAAACUUUUGCUCCUGUUGCUCGUUUAGAAGCCAUUCGUAUCUUGCUUGCAUUGGCUGCUUCACAUGGUUACAAGCUUUAUCAAAUGGAUGUAAAAAGUGCUUUUCUGAAUGGUUUUAUAGAAGAAGAAGUUUAUGUCAAACAACCGCCUGGUUUUGAACACCCCAAUUUUCCUGAUCGUGUUUUUAAGUUGCAAAAGGCUUUAUAUGGUUUGAAGCAAGCACCUCGUGCUUGGUAUGCUAGAUUGAAAACUUUUCUACUUAAAAACGGAUUCAAAAUGGGUUCAGUUGAUAAAACUCUUUUUCUCCUCAGGCAAGGCAAUGACACUUUAAUAGUUCAGAUUUAUGUGGAUGAUAUCAUUUUCGGUGGUUCCUCUCAUGUUCUUGUGAAAAAGUUUGCAGAUGUGAUGAGCAAAGAAUUUGAGAUGUCUAUGAUGGGCGAGCUGAAAUUCUUUCUUGGCUUACAAAUUAAACAAACUUCGGAAGGAACAUUUGUACAUCAGGGAAAGUACACGAAGGAUGUCCUGCAGAAGUUUGCGAUGGAUGAUGCAAAGCCAAUUUCUACACCCAUGCCAACUAGCGCGGCUUUGGAUGCUGAUGAGAACGGAGAGCCCGUGGAUCAGAAGGAUUAUCGAAGCAUGAUCGGGUCACUGCUGUACUUGACUGCAACAAGGCCGGAUAUACACUUUGCUGUGUGUAUGUGUGCUCGUUUUCAAGCGUCCCCCAGGAUUUCUCAUCGUCAGGCGGUGAAGCGCAUCAUGAGGUAUCUUCGAUUUACUCCUGAAUUUGGCCUUUGGUACUCUGCUGCUUCGACUCUCAGUUUGUGUGGUUAUUCGGAUGCUGAUUUUGCUGGGUGUCGUUUGGAUAGAAAGUCUACUUCGGGUACUUGCCAAUUUUUGGGUUCUUCGCUUGUUUCUUGGUCCUCCAGAAAACAAUCCAAUGUUGCUCAAUCUACUACAGAGGCCGAGUAUGUUGCUGCUGCUAGUUGUUGUUCUCAGCUUUUAUGGAUGAUAGCUACCCUUCGCGAUUUUGGUUUGUCGUUUUCUCGCGUUCCUCUCUUGUGUGACAGCACUAGUGCUAUAAGUGUUGCAAAGAAUCCUGUGCUUCAUUCUAAGACGAAACAUAUUGAGGUUCGUCAUCAUUUUCUGAGGGAUCAUGUUGAGAAGGGUGAUAUUGAGCUUAAAUACAUUGAUACUAGUCAGCAACUUGCUGAUAUUCUGACUAAACCACUCGAUCAAACCACGUUUGCACGUUUGCGUGGUGAGUUCGGGGUGUGUUACCCAUUUUGGUAUCAUUAUGAGUUGCUUCGGUUACAUAUGCUUUAUACUUGUUUUGGCUAGUUUGCGACCGAUGCUUUUGGAGAGGUUUAAAUGCUUUGCUUGACCAGUUUUUUUGAAAACAACAUAUAUAUAUAUAUAUACUUCAAAAAUUAUGUUGGGCUCUACUUGCUUUUUUGGAUUUAGUGACUUGUUGAAUACUAGACAUAUGUAAGCUUCUUUUAAUGAUUUUUCACUGCAAAUGUAACUCACAAUGCAAGUUUUAAACUCGGAAGUGCAUACCAUGGUUGUGAGCAAAAACUCUGAAUUCCCAUAUCUCUGCUAUUUCGCUCAUGAUCUGCUUGCUUUACUGAGAAUUUACAUAUGGGCAUAACUCUGAUUUUCCCAUGUCUCUGCUGGUUCUCGCUCAUAAGCAAAAUUAAACAACCUGGCUGAGCACAAUUCUUGCUUCCCAUAUCCCUGCUUGUCAUGCUCAUAAAAGCCAGAAUUAAAUAUGACAAGUGCAUUUGUGGGCGUUGAAGUGAACUUUGAUUGAAGCUGUGUAUCCGUCGUGUGAGCUUGAUAUAUGUUUCUGUCUUCAGCUUGGCACUAAUUUUGCAAUAUGCAUGCUUUUGCCUGAUUAAUUGGUUUUCAAAACGACUUUAAUUCUAAAUUUCUAUUGGUCAUGGCAUUGUGUUGCUUCUCUGGAUGGCUAGUGUUGUUAGUUGGCUAUUAUAAGUAUUUGACAUAUGUCUCAGAAGCUUCUACUUGUGCUCUCUCACAUAGUUCUCGAAAUUGAUUCUUUGCAUUUUAAUCUUGAUGGAGUGCUUUGUCAACAAGGGGGAGAGUGAGUAGCACAAAUUCAUUUUUGCAAGAGGAGUUUGAUUUCGUUUUUUGCUGAGACUUGACGUGCUUGUUUUGAGGGGGAGCUUUGCUGAAAGUGUUGAGUUUUGCUGCUGAGAUUGCUUUUUGAAGAUUGAUAUAGUUUUUGAUUCACUUUGGGAGAGUGAUUUUUUUAUCUUGAUUGUGUUGAGCCUAGUUUUUUCUCUAGCCCAUGUCUUUGGGGAUCAAGAUUGUUUCUUUUUCCUUCUUUCUAUCUUCUUUUUUAGCUCGAAUAAAUUUGUGCGGUGUGGUGUUGUCAAUGCACUCAUCAAGGGGGAGAUUGAGAUGCCGGUGGGCUAGUACCUUGGUGAUGAGCGAUUGACAACACGGUGUGCGUGUGACGUGUCUCUUGGCAGGUGUGGUUGCAGGUGACAGGUGGAGACGAGGUGCAUGCGGCGACGAGUGAAGAACGGGGAUAGGAUGCCAUGCCGACGAACCGUGGGACGGUGAAGGGUGGAUCAAGGCUUGCGUUCGAGGGACAGGCGAUCGUGCGGUGUACGUCUACUGUACCUGGCUACACGGCGAGAGGACGUCAAGGGAGGUUUUCGGAUUACACCACAAAAUCCGGGGUUCGCUGGUUGAGCCAUAAAGCCAUGCAUCGUACCGGGACGCUCGUGCGGCGAGCGUUGGCCGAAGAUGGAAAUUCCGGCGAUCGCGAUACGAUUUCGGAUGGUCGUGCGGCGACAUCGCGAGGAUCACAUCACGGAGAUGGAGGAAUCGCGGACAUCGCGGAAUUUGUCAUGGAGGACGUAACUAGAAUUUACACACCUACGUUAAAUUUAUUUAGCGUAGGGGGUUAUGUGUAAAUAGGCCGUGCCACCCUAAGGAUAUAAAUACGUAGCACCUAGGGUUGAGAGAGUAGGAGCCCUUUUGCUACAGGCGGCGCUACAGUACUCGGCGCUACAGUAACUCGGCGCUACAGUAACUCGGCGCUACAGUAACUCGCGGUUACUGUUCACGCGUGGUACUGUUCAUCGUCGCAGGUACUGUUCAUCUCUCUCUAGUCUAGCCUAGGGUUUCAAUCUAAGUGAGGGAUUUUUAUUGAUCUCUCCAAUUAAGAGAGGGAGGAUGUUUGGGCGGAGGCUAGAUGUACUUUUGUAAGCACAUUACUUGUCUCAAUUUUUCAUAUUAGUGAAUUAAUCUAUGUGCUUGUGCGUCAUGUUGUGCUGAGGUUAAGAUUGAUUUGAUCCAUCUAAAAUCAUGCUAGGGCAUCUUAUUAGAGCUUAAUCUAUUCUCGUCAUUGUCUGAUACAGUCUGCUUGUUCCUUUAAUAUCUCAAGAUCCGAAAGUCCGAUUGACAUGAUUCCAGUUGGGUUAGUUGCAUAAUUUUGUAUAGAUUUUUCUGUCAAAUUUUUAGGUUGAUCGGUCUUACGGAUUUUCGUCCAUAUCCUUUUUAUUAAGGAAACAGUAUUCUGUCCAGAUUUGAAAAACGUGAUUUAAUUAGGUUUUGAGAGGAAGGGGAAGUGUUAAACUUUAUUUUUUGAACUUGCGCCCAUUCACCCCCCCUCUGGUCGCCGUUUCGGUCCUUCACAUACACAUAUGAUCCAGGAUAUAGUAGUCAACCCAUCAAUUGCGCAGAUCUCCUUACCUCAGCAUUGAGCUAAAACCUGUACAGAUGAAAUUGAAGCCUGCACAAAAAUUGAAAGAAGAAACACAAUGAAUUCGGUUAGGUUGUUUUUCCUGUGCAAAAAUAGAAAUUUUGUUGCUCGAUAAAAGAUUGCAAUUUCCAAAGAGUGGAAUGCUUUCGAUGGAACAGAUUUUUACUUCGAGGCUACUUAACUUCAAUGGAUGUUAUCAUGAUAAUAUAACAAUAUGCACUGGUACAUUGGAGAAAUACAUGGUAAAAUAAAAGUGCAAGCCUAAUAUAUCCAUCGCAUCCUGACAAUCCAUUCUUGAGGUCUUAUAGCUGCAACAAAGUGGUCCAGCGCCCCACUCUGUAUUUAAUAUAUAUUAGGAACAUUAAGACAACUGCUGUGUACUUGUGUUGCCUCUGUUCCACAUAUUCUACUAAGUAGUAGUCGACUCUGUAGGACGGAUAUGAUGUGGGCAAUGGGCAUUGGGUAUCUAAAGAUAAAUGGAAAAUGGACCUAAGAAAUCUUGUAAAUUUAUGAUAACCAAACUUCCAGUUUAAUCUAUAGUUCUGUAUCUGUGAGCAAGGUAACCAAUCUUUCAUGUGAGGACGAGAUAAAUAAAAAAGGUGCACAUCCACUCCAUGCAUUCAUCAAACCUUAUAGCGGUGACUAUCUUAAACACUUAGAAUGGGCAAUUUUUCAUAGAGGGCCAAGGUUUGUAAACUAUACUUGAUGGUUACAUUAAAUUCAUGAAACAAGAGUUAAGGCUGGAUGUAAGAACAAUAGCAUAGUGAGCUAUAUAUGAUAUAAGAAGAAGCUAUAUAUCCUGCAGUUACCUUGUGAGAUGAUCUGUAUUAAUAACCACCACUAGUCAAAUUAUGGCAUUAACUAGCAUGACAUGCAUAUACAUUGUAAUUUGACUAAAGCAUCUAGUAUAUCAAUGUGGAAACUACAUGGCAUCAUUGUUAAGGUGCCCAAAAUAAAGCUAUACGAGACACUUGAACUAUUGUGUUUAAGUUUUCAUUGCACAUCUAUAAUGUAUGUUUCUAUCUCUGCAUUUCAAAUGUGGUUUUGAGAUAUUAAUUCUUCUAGCUUUCAUACACAUAUAGAUAAAGUGCUGAAAGAGGAGAAGCACGAAGAAUGAAAAAGUAACUUCCACUCAGACGAUUUGUUUUCUUGCUGGAUACUAAUUUUCCCAAGAGGCCCACCAUAGAUGAUCAAGGACUUCAAGAUGUUAUGAACCCUUUGAUCAACCUCGUGACAUUUCACUUUGACUCUCUGAAGUUUUUCUGGUGGCAAUGGUUGAUCCAGUAAAUUGUAGAUUGCUUUUGAUGGAACCAUAUUUCUAGUUUCCAUAUCCUGUAGCUAACAAAAAAUGUCAUAAUAAGAUAAAUCAUUUACAGAUGAUGACUUAGAUAAUAUAUAAGAACACGCAUAGAGAAUAAAUACCUCAGAAAGUUGAAGAGUGAGCAUCUCUAGAACUGGUGAGUGUUGGAGAAUACAAAUUAGGGCACGGUGGUCACCAGCCGCCACACACCACUCACUGAGUAAUAAAGACUUCAACUUGCUCAAUGUUGGGCACCAUCUCAAAUCCCUUUUGAGAAUAAACUGUAAAGAUUGUACAAUAUGUCAACACAGGUUCAACGUCUAAAGUAUAAGUUGCAAUCAUAUGAAGCAAGUAUUUUCUGACAUGAAUUAAUUCAUAUACAAGACAUGAAUUGAAAGGGAAUAAUGAGUCAGGUUUAUGGCACACAUCAUGUGUUCAAGCAAAUCAUAAAUUGCCCGUAUUAAAUUAAGUCAUAGUGAGAAUAACAUUGCUCACUAGUUAGCAGUCAAAUUUACAUUUGCAAUCCACAUUAACUCAAUGAUCUCUGUAAAUGCCAUUUUGCAAUAUCAUGAACUUCAAAGUAUUUACAUAAACAAUCCAAAACUCAUAGAUGAAACUUGAAAUUUAAAGCCCCAACUUCUUAGCGCACAUGAAACUCAUUUAGAUGUAAGCAUGAAAAUAUCUAGUGAUGGAUAUGUCACAUAUAUACUGCUUGAGAAACAGUAGAUGAAUAGCAGGACUACAGACAGAAGUAAGUACCACACUUCAGGUUCAGCUAUCAGCUCCAAAGUCCUAGCAGCUGACAAACCUUUGAGAAGCACACAGCCUGCAAAGCCAUCAUCAGUGGAAUAACAGUGCCAGCAGGAAGCAUUAUCACAAUACCCAGGGUCAUCGCUCUCACAAUAAUCAUGACACCAUGUGUCCAAUAAUGUAACUGUUGCUCUAACUAACACUGGCAUGUCUUCAAAUAAAGCAGUUUUACCCCAACAACAAUUUAGUUGCAGUGAAAUGACACCUGGGGUAGAAAUAAGAGUCCGGCAGUCCGAGCAAAAAAUGCAGGCUUGAAUGCUCAGAUGUUUAAGGGAUCGGGAGAUCUUGUCAGCAUGAAUGCAGCAUUCUGUCAUGUUUAUCCUGCAGUGCUUGACAACUCGAGAAAUCAAGAAACUUGCCUGGUAAACAUAGACCACAAAGCUUCAAUUUGUUCAAGUACUGAGAGAAAACAGGCAGAUUAUAAAGCCACAAUUCUUUGACCAUCCCACCACCACCACCAAUGACAGAAAGACUCAGCACCCGAACUUGGCACAAUAAGGCAUGCCGAAUCCACAGGUUCACGUAGGGCACAUCAGCUGCAAUGUAAUGAUGAAACUCGAACAGGCACACCUCCAAGUUUGUGCGGUCACGGAGCAGCAGGAGAUUGUCCAAGAAUUUCCGGUGUAAACUGACUUGGCCAGCACCAGUGACACGCAGAACGGGCAUGGACUUCCAGAGGUGACACCAGCGCUUCGCGAUCACGCAAGUUUGCACAGCCUCCCGUGCAUCCAGGAAGCCAAGAACGUGGUGGAGUAGAACGUCAGGCAUGACGCUGAUGAGGUCGUCACCGCCUGCUGCCGACGCGCUCUGGGGCAUUCCGUCGAACAUGCUGCAAGCGCCCAACUCUGCCCAGAGAUAACCGUCAAUUUUGGAGAAAGAGGGAGAGAGAGAAAGAGAAACAGGGAGAGACCGAGAGAGUGAGAGAGAGAUUGCGAGCUGGUCCAGCUCACCUGUUUGAGAAUUCAUUCGCUGCUCCAGAGGCAAGCGGACCACGGCGCUGGAAGGGGAGAAGUUGCCUCGAAUCUCUCGUCGAAUUUCCGUUCAAGAUUGAAAAUACAGAGCCCGUUAGAGGCCUGGUGGACGCGGACAGCAACGGUGGCGAGGUUCGUGGCCGUGGGCGAACCCUAGAAACUUACAGACGCAAAUUAUUGUAUUUCGUCCACGAUGCAUCAUACUAAAUCAAUGGGAUGGAGUAUGGUGAAAAUCAUGCAAGCCGAUGAAACUGCUAUCAUUGCUGCAGCCGAUUCCUUUUUGGGAGUCUGACAAAGUGUGCUGCUUGUCUGGGAAAGUUUGGGAAGAGGAUGAAUUCAUGGAUGCUGCAAAGCUCUAGUUGGAUAAGUGGCGGAUGAAGGUGGUGGAAAUCGAGCAGGAGCUGAUCUAUGGGAAUGUUUAUUGGUCAAUAUAAAUAAGCUGGAAAUACAAUGACGUCAAAGAUCUUGGAGAAAUUCGCUUGGGAAUGAGUAAUAGCAGAUGGGUGUCCUUCGCCCCCCACCAUACUAACCAGCGGCCCAUCGCUGCUCGGAGCCGGUGAUCGCGCCCGAGAUGCGUUGAAGGAUCGCUUCAAACAAGUACGAAGGAAGCCAUGGAGUACUGUUCUUUCGAGGGGGUGAUGGCAGUGGCGCAAGGCUGCCAGGGACUACAGGAAGACAGCGCUAACCAUGAAGACGAUGGCGACAAUGUAGUGAGAGGCUGCCGGGCUGCCCCGGGGAUGACAAGGUGGCGCCGCCGUUGAAGACAUUGCGAGGCUGUCCAAAAGAGCACAAGAUGGAGCUGGCGAUGGUGAGGCGACGACUGCACGAGCGGCUAGGAUGAUGGAGCUAGCGGCGGCUCGCGGCGGCAAGUACAUCGGUGGCUCGCAGCGGCAAGUGCGUCGGUGUGGUGCAUACGCAUGAGAGAAAGGGUGAAGAGGAGAAGAUAAAGGUGAGCAGGGAGCCACGUGGAGAAAAAGAGGGGGGCCUUUAGUUUCGGUUGGUGGCUCUAACAGGGACAAAAUGUCCCUCGUCGCACUACCCGUUACAUCUAGGAUUAAAGGGAUGGAUUUAGUCCUGGUUGGUCUUUACAACCGGGACUAAAGCCCACCCCCCGCGAUGUCCUUCGAUGGCACAUUUUUGACCUGGACUAAAGGCACUUUAAUCCCGGGUCCAAUGUUAACCAGGACAAAAGCACCUGGAUGGAAGGUUAGUUCUCUACUAGUGGGAGUCUGUUUUCAAUGUUGUGCAUAUACAUGGAAAGCUGAGAAGGCACACUUUCCAAUGGUGCUAGUGUCAUGUCCUAAUUCCUUCAAACAAGAAUCAUCGAAACAACUGUACGUCACCGUCUUUUGUCGAAACAACUGGACGUCACCGUCCUUUGAGCCUUUGGCCCAUGUAUCAUGUUGGAGACAUUAUGGGUGCGCCCAGGGGUUUUGCACACCCCUCACUCUUUAUAUUCAGUAGUCACCACCCAAGAUAGGGUUUGGGUUUUGCUUAGAUUCAAUCUGCCAUUGUACAUUCGCCGUUCAUUGAUUUAUGGGACUCCAACUUCGUGUGCUUAAUUCAAGGUUUCCUACAAUUGAGUUGUGUUUUCUAGAUUUUGCUUGUGUUCUUAAUUAUCUUGCGGGAGGUAGCCAUUGUGGCGAGGUCAGUGGGGUUGUGCACGGUUGAUAAACAGAGGAGAAGUAGUGCUUCUAUUGCGGGGUUCGGAUCUUGCAGAUCCAAAAUCGGAUCGAGUGUGUUACUACUCCACAAAAUUGAGAGUUACGUGGUGUUGACAUCGAUUAUGGCUACUGUCGGUGUCACAGUAACCGGGGCCUCCUUAGUCACGGCCACACGGACACCACGACGAGGCCGAACUGAAGGCCAGCCGAUCGCCGCCAGAAAUGGCAGGGCAAGUGUGCCACCCGACUCGGUACCACGGGUGGUAAUACGUCCUAGGGUUGCGGCAGACCCACGUCGCGUGCUAGCCCCAAGACGUCACCUGGAAAGAGCCCCGAGAAGGUGGGAUCCUAGGCAACCACACUGAGCUGGCUCUUCCUUUGGACUGAAGGAAAUCAUGACAUAUGGGUGCACAAAUUCCAAGGUGAAGACCAUCGGCCACAAAUAUUGAUGAAGCAAGCAUGCAGCAACACCCCUAUAGUGACAAAGAUUUUUUAGAACAAGGAUGGUAUCAUGCAUAAACCAAGGACAAGACAAGACCAAACACACCUUCACAGCGUACGAGUGAGACUUGAAAUAAUAUCUUCAUUGUCUUAUUAGGUAAAAGGUGGGCUCUCUCCAUAUUAUAUAAGGAGGGUCCUCAAAUUGAUGAGGGGACCGGAUUUCAUCAUCCUUGUAAUCCCCCGUUCAAAUAACAGCAAGAACAUACAGAGAAGCAGGACAUGGAGCUAUUAUCCUCGGGCAGGCCCGAACCUAGGUAAACAAUCCUUACGUGCUCACCACAUAUGCAAUACUAGGAGAACAGCGUGUUCAGCCCGAGGCCGAAUCUCAAAAGAGGUUUCCUCAGACCCCUACUCCGACGUUUGCACGCCUUCAGCUAGUGAUCAUGCAUAGCUUGUCUUUGUCACGCCCCGCAGACGCGAACAAAGGCUUCAGGCUGGAUGACCAUUCAACCCACAAGAAGGCCGGUAGGACCAUGAGGCUUCCGGGAGGCGACAAGCUGGUGCUCACGUUGUGGGAAGAGAAGAGGGCACACUAACACACUAAUAAUCCGAGUAGGUAAUUCCAACCGGGACUAAAUGGAUGGCCUUUAGUCCCGGUUGGUGUUUUCAACCGGGACUAAACGCCCCAUCAGAUUCCCUCAUCCUACCUAGCCAUUACAACCAAGACUAAAGGGGCUUUUUAGUCCCGGUUGACAAUACCAACCAGGACUAAAGCUCCCGUCAUCGGUGAUGGCCGGUGGUGGCCGUUUUACCCGGGACUAAAGGAGCUUUAGUCCCGGGUUCAAAAAGCGUCGAGACAUAUGUCUCUGGAUGGAAGGUCUAUUUUCUACUAGUGUAACCACAGGAAUCCCACAAGCUACCUCUCUCUGGCUUCUUCUUGGUAAUCUGGUCAGUUCCUAUAUAGCUCAUUAGCAUUCAAUAAAUCCAAGGAAUAUAGCAAAAAUAUAAGUCAUGAUGCAUUGUUGUGGACAUUAUUUUAUCCUGAGCCGUGAAUAAACCAGCCUGUCAUGUUCUUUAUCCUUGUGAAUUAACGGAGUGAUAAUUGACAUGAAAGAAUCUAGGUCCUUCAUAGCACUAUACACAAUCAAUGACAUGGCGCAUGGAUCGUGUACAUCACUCUGGUGUGUGACUACAAGGUUACAGACUUAAGACAAAAUGGAAGCAGUGACCAUGCAUUUUAGUUGACUGCCGUGCCCAGAUGCUCUACAUCCGGUAUCUAUAUCUUUGGCAUGGAGAGACACCACUGAUCAUCUACUGAAACUAGCUUAAUUUGAGACUCCAUGUACCCAUUAUAUAAUUUGACCGGUGAGAAUUUUGGAGUUUCCACGAAACAAACCUUACUAAAAUGACAUAACAUCAAUGAAAUAAAACAAAGUAGCAAUGCAUUAUUACAUCCAGUUUAAGGGUACCAAACUAGCAAACAUAUUGUUCUCCAUAAAAAAGCAUCAUAUGGUUUGAUGCACUUUAUGGGCUUGUUCUUCCAGAAGUCAUGGCAAUGUACACAGUUUACAGCACAGUACAUGACUAUAUGCUUUUAUUUCCCUCCAGAAAGUUGACAUCAUUCAGAACCUACAGAAAACCAUGAGGCAAAGUUGGCUUGAUUGAAUGAUUUGGGUCAACUGGAAAAUUUCCUGUGGGAUAGUUGGCAGCCUUUCUUCCUCUAGUUGAUUUAGUUGUUGAACCUGUACACCAAAUAUGUUAUGUUAACCAUAAUGGACAUAAAUGUUCUUUUGAAAGAUUGGUCAAGAGAGUAAACAGUUCCUGGUGUUCCAGAUUUGCUAGUAAAAUUAACACUAGUUGCACAAUUAAAUCAUUCAAGACAAACUAAAGUUUCCAAGCUACAUUGUAAAAUAUAAUAGCUGCCUGGAGAUAAUAAAUAGUCUCUCAAGUAAAGCAUAUUUGAUCUGUAUAUAUCAUUUAAGGGCACAUACCAGCUCGACCAUGACCAUCCAGACCAGCUAUCCUCUGCAUAAUCCAAAAAUAUGAAUGAAUCAAGAUAUAUAUUUAUGAAAAUAAAUACAUAACGCUACCAUAAAAGGUUUUACUGAUGCACAGUUACAUUUUUUAAGGAGAACUGUGGGGGAGUUCCCCACAGUGCUUUAAAACAGAGGAUAUUUAUAAAGUUUAUGGAAUAAUUACAACACAGGGGGUGGGGUGGGGUGGGGGGGCUAAUUAAAUUAAGUUAUUUUUACUAGCCAUGGUACAAUUGGAGGCCUAAGCUCCUGUCUAACUCUGUGAAUUAAGUUAAAACAGUUACAUUAAAAGAUUUAUAAUGUAGAAACUUUCUAAAUAUAUUUGUUCUGAGUACUCAUACCAUGGUGGACACCCUUAUUUUCAUGCAAUAGUUUCUGCAAAAGGAUGACUAUACCUUCUUAUGAAGUUUUCUCCCUCUGAACAUGCCUGUUAUCGGCCCGUUUGUUUUAAGGAACUCCUCCACUUCAAGUUUGGAACGGAAUUUCCUUUGGUACACCCUGUGUUCGUAGGUCUGCAUAUAAACAAUUUAUAUGGAGUUAAUAUUAUAUUUUUACAUGAGUAAUAAUAAUGUGACCAAAAUAUAUGCUAUACUUCAUAAGAUUACAUGGACUGUCCUGGAGCCUUGAAAUGCAGUCUUCAAACUUUAUCAAGUUCUAAUGUUGUAUACACGCACAGCAUAAUAGAACCACAAUAUCUUGUGAAACUUCCACUCACGAAAAUAAACUCAUUUUUAUUUUAUAAAAGAAUGAUAAAUAAAAUGUAAAGGAUUUUGAAACAUUCUAGCCGAACUUGUCGUCUAAGAAUAAAAUCAGAAGCUUAUAAGAUAUGAUAUAUCCUAGUUCAGAGUUUUGUCAAGACACAGUGCACCAUCCCUGCAUUAAAUUAUCUUCAACAUUAGUUUAUGUUGUCAUAUGCAUGCAAAGCAUAUAAAAUUAUAAUUUUUUUUGCAACAAAUAUUUAUUUUCAAAGAAUAAAAUCCUAAGGAUGUAAUUCAACGUACGUUCUUUACCAAUACUGAGCUCAGUUUUUCACUGACCAUCCCUACAUUUUAGGAAAUCCAACUAUAAGGAGGGCCCUUCAUCAGAAUACAGAAGACAUGACAAUGACUUGAUGCUCUACAACAUUUCAAGCAAUAAACUUUUGAAGGGCAGUGGAUCAAUCCAAUACAGUCUCCCCCGCCCCCACCCCCACAGUGGAGCUUGGGCCUAGGGCUGGAAAAUAGAUGUGGCAGUACCCAAUUAAGAAGAGUACUGCAGUUAUGAAUAAAAGAAUUAAAUUCACCGUAAACAUAAGAUUCUGGGGAAAAUUAUGUGUGCACAAGCGUUGUUAUUAGAAUAUAAUGCCAAAGAAUCAAUUAUUAUUUCAAUAUUGUUUUUGAAAUAUGAUGGAAACAUCCCAAAAAUAGCUUGGAAGCCACUAAAUACAUUGUCCAGAUAUAAAUUUUUAUAUAUGUGAAAUACUGUUAUAUGCAUCAUUGUCAACUCAAGCACACUAGCUGAGAUGCUAGAAUUACUACUUGAAUACUGUAAUUUAAAUGAAUUUACACACAACAUAGAACAAUGCAAUGGGCAGAAGAGAAAUCAGAUCGAUGUGUUGGCAUGUAGGGUAUGAAAGCUAGCCUAAGCAGACUAGGCACAUCGCUUGUCUAUGCAUAUGUACAGAGAGAGGAUACUUUCUAGAAGGAUGAUAUAAAGUAUAUCAUUUUAUUUCUGGACAGAAAAAUAGAUCUGUUUAGAAUAGAUCCAACCAGUACUGGCAAACAAAAACACACAUUGAAAUCAUGUAUAACAUCACCUGAGGAAAUAUUCAUCAGGUAGCAAAAGGCAUUUUUGAACAAAACCACAGAUCUAGAUGCACAGAUGCAAGAAUAAUCAAAUAUGGAGAAGGUGCCAUAACAUGCUAAAUAGAAUUACUAACCCAGUCCUUGUGCCCAUCAACAACUCUUGUGUGGAGGAAAGCUGUCCAAUCCUCUUCCUUGUAAGAUUCAAGCGACUUCAGCGAUUGAGGAAAACAACAGAUGGGUUGUUCUUUGACAGGAACAGAUUGAUCUCUUAAAUGACCAAGCUUAUUCUUGUCAAAGGGGAUAGGUUCUUUUCCUCCAUAGGGACUGAGAACCACACUCAAAGGAACCGCAGCUGGUGGCUGCUGACCCUUCAACUUUGGAUCAUCAAUAUUCAGUGGUUUUGGCGGAGCAGAGAUGAUAUCUUCCUCCUCCGCACGGAUCACUGCAGGAGGCGGGGAUGGAGUCAUCUCAAAGUCACUCCACUCUACGGAUGAUGAAUCCAUGACCUAGUAGAGGUGUUAGACUUCGGGCCUAGCAACCAAAUGAGCAAAUGCCUUAAGCUGUUUGUCUUUCUAACUAUAACGUGGACAAGGGGUGGCUUGUGAAUAUUAUAUAGUCCAAAGUAAAAGCUUGAUUUAUUUCGAGGUGAACUGUAAAGCUAUACAAGUUCAAAAUAAAAGUUUGUCUAUUUUCCAAGGUGACCUAUAAAGAUAUACUAGUUCAAAAUAAAAGCAUGCUACUUUUUCUUGGGGAAACUAAAGGUACACAUCAUAACGGACACUAGGGAUAGUAUCCAGCUACUGCCUUCGUCCCGAGAUAUGUAUUUUGUCUAUGUAUCUGGACAAGUGCAUGUCUAGGUACAUAGCUAGAUAUCUUUUAUUUAGAAUGUACAGGGAAUAUGCCAUAUUUAAUGCAUGGCAAGCAAAAACCAUUUGCCAGCUUUUUGCUAGUUGUAUUCUAAAUAUGAGCCAUCAGUUUUUCUCGAGUUGAGGGCCUGUUUAAAUUGACCUGAAUUGUAGAACUCAGUUUUUAUAUUCCAGCUUGUGAUACAAACAACUCAGAUUAUGAUCCAGCUUUUACAAUCUACCAACUCUAAGAAUUCCAGAAGCUACCUCACCCAUGGAGCUCCCACGUCCAAUUGUUGGCCACCAUCGUGGUUCCCCUGUCAAAGCUGUGCUGCAUUGUCCGGACUAUGGCCAGGCAUUUGCCAUUGCACACUGGUUUGUUUGGAGACAGAGUAGCUUUUAUAUAGGGCGCCUUAUCACAAAAAUUGAUUUAACAUUUUUACGCUUUGACUGUAUAGUGUUGCACAGGCUAGUCUUAUGUAGUCUAGUAGAUGGUGCGCAUGAAUGGUAUAUUUAACAAAAUUUCAUGUGUUGUGCCUUUUGGUACUGUUUUGUGUCUUGGAAAUUACUUAGGAAGUCUAUCACAUUAUUUGUCGGACAUAAUAAAUACAGUAUAUAGGAAAUUCAUUUAUUUGUUUCACAAGUGUUCCUCGGGGCUUGAGUAUAGAUUUUCCUAUGAAUGUUCUAUGACUAUAGGAAAUGCUUUUGAUGGAAGAUUUCCUAUGAAUGUUCUAUGGCCAGAUUGAGUAGGUGCCUAAUAUUUGAUAUAAGUUCUCAAACCUAUCAAACGAUCUAAGAUGGAAACAAGGUCAACAUCAAAGUCGUUGUACUCGAGAUCUAAAACUUUGUAGUUGACAACUUCAAUUUUUCAUUCAAGAUCAUUUUAACAUUCAAAGAUUAAAUAUAACAUCGAAAGUUUAAAUAAAACGACAACAUCCUUUCACUGGUCAAAAGUGACUAUGUUGUUUAGCUUAAUGGUUGGGUCAUGCAACCCAUGUGGUCACAGGUUCGAAUCCUCGAGGAUGCACUCUUUGCGUAUACCACUAGCCACACAAGGAGUUUACAAUGACUUGUUCACAUUUUUAUACUUUUUGGAUCCAUAUGUGUCAAUAUUUUAUACCCGGCAACCUACCGAGGGGUAUCCCGAGGUAUUAUAUUGGUUGGUGGGGGAUCGCUAGAUCUGGAACUUUAUGGUAAAAGCGAGGACACAAGACAUAGAUUUAUACAGGUUCGGGCCGCCAGAGUAGCGUAAUACCCUACAUCCUGUUUGGGGUGUUGUAUAUUGCGCCCUGCACUUGGGUAUUGUUUGGUGUUGAGGAUUUGGUCCUCUGUUGUGGUUCUGCCGAUCUAGGUACCCCUGCCCUCCUUUAUAUACUCUAGGGGGUAGGAUUACAAGCCGGUUACAAGGUAUGAGUCCUAGUAGGAUUACAUGAUAUGAAUCCCUGUAGGAUUAUAGGGGAAUUCUAGUUGGAGUCCGUUUUCUUUCUUCCUUGCGAGUACUGGGGAUCUAUCCCCGACAAUCGUUUGUUCGGAGUUGGGGCAGUGAGGACCGGUGGCUUGGAUAGGAACUCUCUAAGUUGAAGUAGAGCCCUAUCAACCUCCUCGGACCAAUGGAACUUGUCAUGCCGCUUCAGUAGCUUGAAGAAUGGUAGACCUCGUUCUCCAAGUCUUGAGAUGAAUCUGUUGAGCGCCAUCAUCCAUCCAGUUAGCUUCUGGAUGUCCUUGAUCUUUGAUGGAGCAUGCAUAUCGGUGAUGGUGGAGAUCUUCCCUUGGUCAGCUUCAAUGCCUCGGUGACUAAUGAUGACCCCGAGUAGUUUUCUGUAUGGCAUGCCAAAGACACAUUUAGUCGGGUUGAACUUCCACGGGAAUUCUCACAGACUUGCGAAGGUUUCUUCUAGAUCCGCAAUCAGGUCGUUGGGAUUUCUGGUCCUUGCGACCACGUUGUCCACGUACACCUCGAUGUUGCGGUGUAGCUGCUUCUUGAAGUACUCUUGGAUGGCCCGUUAAUAAGUCGCGUACCACAAAGAUCUGUAUGGGGUGAUGAAUGCGGUCUUGAUUUGGUCCUCUUCUUUGAGAGCUAUCUGGUAACACCCCGAGUAGCAAUCGAGGAAACAAAGUAGGGCACAACCAGCUAUGGAAUCGAUGACUUAAUCAAUCCUCAGGAGCCCGAAAGGAUUCUUUGGACAGUGCUUGUUGAGGUUGGUGUAGUCGACACACAUCUGCCACUCGUUGUUCUUCUUCUUGACCAAGACGGGAUUGGCCAACCACUCUGGAUGGAAGACUUCCUUGAUGAAGCCUGCUGCGACUAGUUUGGCUAGCUCCACUUUGAUGGCUUCCCUUCUGUCUUAGGCGAAUCUGCGUAGGCGCUGUCUUUUUGGUGUAGCUUUUUGAUUUUACGUUUAGCGAGUGCUCGAUGAACUCCCCCGGCAUGUCCGCUGGUUUUCCGUGCAAAGAUGUCAUGGUUGGCCCGAAGCAAGCUGACGAGUGCACUUUCCUAUUUAGAAUCCAGCCUUGUGCCUAUCAGGGCUAUCUUGGAGCUAUCACCGGUCUAAAGGUCAAUGGCUUCGACAUUGACUUCUUUUGCUGGCUUGACCUUAUCUGCCCCCGACUUCUUCUCUAGUAUAUCGAGUUCUUCGUUGGACAGGUUCUUGGAUGGUGCUAAGACUUGCAUCAUUGAAUUUGGCACUUGAGUAGUUGCUGCGAGUUCCAUAGCUUCCAUGUGCAGUCGUAUGAUCUUUUCAAGUCUCCGCGCAGGGAAAGUACUCCCUUGGGUCCCAACAUCUUGAGUACUAGGUACACGUAAUGCGGGAUGGCCAUGAAUUUGGCUAAUGCUGGUCUUCCAAGGAUGGCGUGAUAUGAUGUUUUAAAGUUAGCCACCUUGAAGCUGAUGUUCUUCAUCCGGUAGUGUUCUUUUGUCCCGAAGCUAACUAGCAAAACCACCUGACCAAGGGGUACAAUUGCAUUGCCUCGGACGAUGUCGUAGAAUGGAGAGUUCUUUGGGGUGAGCAUGUCGGUGACGUCGAGGCCCAUAUUCUUUAGCGUUUUGGCAAAGAGGAUGUUGACGUCACUGCCACUAUCGAUGAGUACUUUGCUGAGUCUGGAGCUUGUGACCACCGGAUCCAGGAUGAGAAGAUAGCGCCUGUUGGGAUACGAAGUAGGCUACACUAGCGCAAAUCAAAAUUUCUACCAGCGUAAAACCAGGAAGAAUUGCCGUAUAAGGAUCACGGGAUUACCACUCGACGCACUACUGGUGUGGAAGAUGUAGAUUUGCGUCGAUGCAGCGAAGACGAUCAACGUAGUCGUACGUAGUCGAUCACGUCAACGUCCAGCAGCUCCUCAGCAGCAAGAUCACCCUCAUGCCGCGGCUCGUCGUCGGUUCGUCGGCGGCUCGUCGACGGCUCGUCGUGGCUUGUCGGCGGCUCGUCCGAGUGCUGCAGGCGCAACACCUCCAAGGUAUCCACACGUGCAGGGAGGAAGUGUCGCAAGCCGGACUGCUAGAUCCUUGAGUUGCAACAGGCGAGGGCGUGGGAGGCGCGGCAGAUGUGUUUUGCCAAAAGGUGUAAACCCUAGGGCGCCCCCACCCCUCUAUUUAUAGAGGUUCCUGACGGGCCUCUAGGUCCGAGGCCCAUUAGUACUUCUAAACCUAAUCCAACUCGGAUCAGAUCCGAAUUGGGCUUCGAGCCCCUUAAGUGUGUGACCCUAUGGGUUCGGAUACGUAUAGACAUGGCCCGAGUACUCCUACUCGGCCCAAUAGUCGGUAGCGGCCUCUAGCAAGACGUGCCAACUCCUAUACGCACACGAAGAUCAUAUCAGACGAACCAUCACAACAUAAUAUACAUGCUAUUCCCUUUGCCUCAUGAUAUUUGGUCUAGCUUCAAGCCGACCGCUCUUUCUCGAUCCUGUGAUUUGGAAUCCCUUUGUAGGUUAACUCUUAACCGUACGUAGCAUGGCCAUGCAUUUUCGGAUCCGAUCACUCGAGGGGCCCAGAGAUAUCACUCUCAAUCAGAGAGGGGCAAAUCCCAUCUUGAUUGACCAUGUCUCAUAGCAUGCUUCUUGACAAACCCGAAAGCUACCUUUAUAACUACCCUGUUACGGCGUAGCGUUUGAUAGCCCCUAAGUAGGUCGAUCCACAUCUUGAAUACAUGCGACAAUCUCAGGUCUAAGGACAAAGCGUAUAUGUUGUUUAAAGAGAGAACUACUUCUCGUGUUGGGUCAGUCCUAGCACAUGUCUCCACAUGUGUCCACAUUAUUAGUUCAACAUCUCCAUGUCCAUAACUUGUGAAACAUAGUCAUCAACUAAUACAUGUGCUAGUCUAAUAUUCAUGUGUGUCCUCACAUGAACUCCGACUAGGGACAACUUUAGAAUAACCAUACAAGUAAAGAGUUUCACAUAAAAUUCACAUAAUUGCAAAUCAAUUCAAGUAGCCUUUAAUGGAUAUUCAAUGAACACAAUAUACAAAUCAUGGAUACAAAUGGAAUAUCAUCAUCUCUAUGAUUGCCUCUAGGGCAUACCUCCAACAGCGCCCUGGGUCUGUGAAACUAGUCCAUUGGUUUGCUCUUGAGAAGGUAAUAGACACCUCCGAACAUUUAAGGAAAGUAGGCGCUACGGGUUCAAUGGACAUGAUCUCUUGUAGGGUAAGCUUCUGGGACCGCUUGGUGGGGAGUCCUGAUGAGCUACUGAAGAUGACAUUAACCGUUUUUGAUGGGUUUUGGAAGUUGUUGUUCUCUCCAUCAUCUACGUCUUGCUUGGCUUUUCUCUUGUCUUUGGCGCCAGAUGGUUCCAGCGCGUCCUUCAUAGCUUUCCGCAGGCUGAAGCAAUCCCACGAAGAGUGCUUAUGGUGCGGGUGCCACGGGAUUUGUAACUUCAAGAGUUCAUUGAACGAGGGCCUGUCUGAGUUCUUGGUGCCACCGUUCUUGGACGAGCGAUGCAUCGCCGCGACUGUGUUGUCUGGCUUGCGCUUGUGGUUCUGACUUCCCGAGUAGUUAUUCCGAUUGUCGUUGUUGGGGCGAUCGUUGUGGUUAUUGUCGUUGCGUUGGCCAUUGCUAUGAAUAAAAUCAGAAGCUUAUAAGAUAUGAUAUAUCCUAGUUAAGAGUUUUUUCAACACACAAUGCACCAUCCCUGCAUUAAAUUAUCUUCAAAGAAUAAAAUCAUAAGGAUGUAAUUCAACAUAUGCUCUUUACCUAUAACGAGCUCAGUUUUUCGCUGAACAUCCCUACAUUUUAGUAAAUCCAACUAUAAGAUUACGAUGUAGAUCGGUGGCUGUUUAUCAGAAUACUGAUGACAUGACAAUGACUUGAUGCUUUACAAACAUUUCAAGCACUAAAUUUUUGAAGGGCAGUGGAUCAAACCAAUACAGUGUAGGCUCAUGUGGUAGUGCUCAAGCAGCUAAUACUCUCUCUCUCUCUCUCAAAAUUCACUAUAAACAUAAGAUUCUGGGGAAACUUAUGUGUGCACAAGCAUUAUUAUUAGAAUACGAUGACAAAGAAUUAAUUAUUAUUAAAAUACUUUUUGAAAUAUGAUGGAGACAUCCCAAAAGUUGCCUGGAAGCCACUAAAUCAAUUGUCCAGAUACAAAUUUUUAUGUAUGUUAAAUAGUGUCAUAUGUAUCAUUCUCAACUGAAGCACACUAAGAUGCUAGAAUAACUUAAAUACUAUAAUUUAAAUGAAUUUACAAACAACAUGGAACAAUGCAAUGGGCAGAAAAGAAAUCAGAUCAAUGUGUUGACAUGUAGGGUAUGAAAGCUAGCCUAAGCAGAGUAGGCACAUCGCUUGUCUAUGCAUAUGUACAGAGAGAGGAUACUUUCUAGAAGGAUGAUAUAAAGUAUAUCAUUUUAUUUCUGGACCAAAAAUUGAUCUGUUUAGAAUAGAUCCAACCAGUACUGCCAAACAAAACACACACUGGAAUCGUGUAUAACAUCACCUGAGCAAAUAUUCAUCAAUCAGGUAGCAAAAGGCAUUUUUGAACAAAACCACAGAUCUAGAUGCACAGAUGCAAGGCUAAUCAAAUAUGGAGAAGGUGCCAUAACAAGUUAAAUAGAAGUACUAACCCAGCCCUUGUGCCCUGUUGUGUGGAGGAAAGCUGUCCAAUCCUCUUCCUUGUAAGAUACAAGCGACUUCAACAAUUGAGGAAAAGAACAGAUGGAUUGUUCUUUGACAGGAAUAGAUUGAUCUAUUAAAUGACCAAGCUUAUUCUUGUCAAAGGGGAUAUGUUCUUUUCCUCCAUAGGGACCCGGAACCACUCUCAAAGGAACCGCAUCUAGUGGCUCUAGACCCUUCAACUUUGGAUCUUCAAUAUUCACUGGGUUUGGCGGAGCAGACAUGAUCUCUUCAUCCUCCGCAUGGAUCAUUGCAGGAGACGGGGAUUGAGUCAUCUCAGAGUCACACCACUCUACGGAUGACAAAUCCAUGACCUAGAAGAGGUGUUAGACUUCGUGCCUAGCAACCAAAUGAGAGAAUGCUUUAAGCUGUUUAACUUUCUUCGUAGAAACUGGACAAGACAUGGCUUGUAAAUAUUAUAUAGUCCAAAGUAAAAGUUUGAUUGAUUUCCAAGGUGUAUUGUAAAGAUAUACUAGUCCAAAAUAAAAGUUUGCUUAUUUUACUAGGUGAUCUGUAAAUAUAUACUAGUCCAAAAUAAAAGCAUACAACUUUUCCUUGGUGGAACUAAAGCUAUACAACUUUUCCUUGGUGGAAUUAAAGCAUGCAGUUUAAAGUUGAUUCCAAUAGUUAGUUAUAUGUGUUGGCACUCACCUGUAGUCACUUUUAUCUCCAAGUCACAACCGAAUUUAUACAACUCCAAGUCAUGAAUAAAUUUGCACAACUUAAAAUUUCAUUAAGUUGUACAUAUUAAAUUUACUUAUUAGGACACCAACACAUGGGAUAUUAAUGACUUAUUAAACACUGAGGUUACUCGCUGCCAAGGAUGGAAUUCGCCACUGGGCCAUGACAGGAUUAUGUGUGUGAGUGUGUGUGUGUGUGUGUGUGUGUGUGUGUGUGUGUUAUGAAUAAAAACUACUGCGAGUAGCUUCAUCAGACAUGUGAUGAACAUACAAGGUGCAUUAGAUCUUGCAUCAGGCAGAGCAUAUAUCUAAUUUGAGCUGGUUGAAGCAAAUCGUCGAAAUAAUAUAACAUAAUAUAAGCACUGCGAAUUGUGCAGAUUCCACAAUCAAAUAAUACUUAAAUGACAUAUAGUAUAUAACUUCCACGAAAUAACAAUAAGUAGCAAUGCAUCAUUACAACCAGUUUAAGGAUACCAAUGUAGCAAACAUGUUUCCACCAUAAGAAGCCC